rnacentral:lncRNA from 1 species
AAGAAAUGGAAUAUACUAUAGUGAAUUUAAAAGGUGUGGAUAUAAUACAUUUGGAAAAAUUGAAUAAAAAGACUUGUCAUUGCCCAUGAAUUUAAAUUAUGAAUCAGUCAAUCAAACCGAGGAAAUAUCAACUAAUGAAAAAGUGUACAAAGAGGACAACAAAGUAAUUACAAAAGAACCAAAGAAAUAAAACUUAAUGAAGAUGGAAUUAAUAUCCAUUCUUUCAACUUCAUCAACUGCCUAAAAAUUGAAUUUGCGAUUAAGCUUGAGAAGGAGGUAAAAGUCUACGUAGUUAAGUUUGAAUCGGAUGGAAUAAGCAAGUCAUAUCAUAUUGCAAGAGGCAAGUCAAGAUUUGAAAAAUAAGCAAAAAGUGGAGUAAAGUCAAAAUAAACAAAUUAAGCAAGGCAUCAAAAGCUUUCUUCAAAAUUCUAUGAUACGAUUGCCAAAGUCAAGCUCAUGACUUUAAAUGAGUAAUUACUAGGAGGUAACCUAAUUUUCUUCCCUUUUAUUUAUUAUGCUUUCUAAAAAAAAAAAAAAGGUUGAACCCCAACCUUGAGGGUCCCCCACCGUCCCUGCCCUGGAGUAUCGUGAGGGAGGUAAAUCGCAGGUUAUGCCUCCAAGAGUAUAGGGUAGAAGGCUACUUGUACACUUGCACUUACCCAAGAGCCAAAUCCAUAUUUCAGGAUUCGAACCCUUGACGCGGCAGCCUUAAGCAAAGCUGGAUUUCUCCACCCUCUCCUUUUAUUUAUUAUGCUUUCUAGAUAAUAGGUUAGCUGGUUUUUAUUUUUUUGUGUGCUACGUAAUAAUUAGGUAUCUUCAUUCUCAUAUUGCCCUAUAAGUCGUGAUUGUUUAAACUUAAUAUAAAUUGUUUCAUAUUAUCAAUGAUUAAUUUCUCUUUACCUACUUAGGAAUAUGACAACUGAAAACGCACAAACCAACACAGGAAAAGGGAAAUGACACACCCAAGUGAAUCAUUUAACUCCAUUAAUUUUGUUCCAAAUUAGCGUCCAUUAGCAGAUAUACAUCCGAGGAGUACCAAAUUUCCUUCUCUACUCUUUUAUUUUACUUAUUUGAUGAUAAUUUGAGAUAUUAAGGGCAACGUUUGGUAGUCGAAAAAACAUUGAGUUGUUAUUAUUAUUAGUGAUCGUGUGAAAUUUUAUUGUUUUAUUAUAUAUGAAAGAUAGAAAAGAUUGAAUUAAAAAAAAAUCAAAAAGAUUUUUUUUUUUUUUUUUAUUUGCUUGUUGCAUGGAUUAGUUAGUCUCGUCGACAAUGAUGUAUAUAUUUUGAACCAUGUGUUAGUUUAUGAAUUAUGAAUAAGUUGCAUGUUUAGAUUAAUUUUUGCUUAUCCAUGUGAAAUGUGAUAUUAAUUGAAAAAAUAAAAUAUUGAGCUUUUAUUAUUACUUUUGUGUGAAAUUUUAUUGUUUUAUUACAUCUAAAAAAUAUAGAAAAAAUUGAAUUAAAAAAAAUCAGAAAUAUUUUCCUUUUAAUUUGCUUGCUAUGUGGUUUAGUUAGUUUUGCCGACAAUAAUGCAUAUAUUUUGAACUGUAUGUUAGUUUAUGAAUUAUGAAUAAGUUCUUUGCUUAAAUUAAUUUUUGCUUAUUCACGUGAAAUAUGAUAUUAAUUGAUCAUGAGAAUUAAGGUUAACAUCGUGAAGGAAUGAGUUGGUUCAUAUUUUCAAUAAGUUGAAAUGGUGGACCGUAGGACCUAAACCCAAAUAAUCACUACAUUAUACACUUUCAAACCAAGAUUAUUAAUGUUUGGGGGUGAUUGAAUUAUUGUAGAAAGUCGAUGAAAAUUCCAAGAGUGAAUUCUUGUAUUAACUGUCUAAAAUCAAUGAAAUAAAAAUUAGGUGAAAAUCUUAACUUAUAUGUUAAUUUUUAAUAAUAAGUAUUUAAUGAAGGACAUUGUACUAAUCAUUACAUAAAAAGGAAAAAAAAUUACGCAAUUCACGAAUGAAAAAGCUAAAAUCACCACCCAUCCCCCACCCCGCCCCGCCAAAAAAAGAAAAAAAAAAGGGAGAGAUUAAGCUAGUGCAUGUAACUUGAAAAAACAAAUGCAUAAAACAAAAAACACAUUACAUGUAUUAAUUAAGCCUCAAACACUUAUUUGAGGAAAUUAGACUUUUUACAAAAGAUUAUUAGCCUAGUUGAUUCUUGAAGGUUGAAGCAAUUAAACUAUAUGAUAAUCCUUACUUAUUAAGAUGACUUGCAAUAGAUACAGCACGCGCAAAGCCUUAAAUUAAACAUAGAUACUCGUAUUUAUCGUAAAACAAGAAUAAUCUUUCAACACCAUCCAAGAACACGUACUUGGGGGAAAAAAAAACUCAGCAACUUUCAGUUCAAAAACGUGCUAAUGAGAGAUUCCUCUAGCUUCCAAUAAGAAACUAAAGAAUCUCAGACUCUCCCAACACAAUUAGAAGGUAACACAAUCUAGUUCAUUCUCCUGAUAAGCUCGUUGAUAUAAUCUUCACGGUUUCCAGCAUCUCCACCCUCAACGUAGUGGUUUCUCUUCUUCUUCAGACCACCCAAUGGUGCCUUAAGUUGGAAUGGCCAGAUAAAGUUAUUGGCCUCCUUAAAAUGAGGUCCAACAGUCAUGAUCUCAUGAACAAGAUCUUCCAUGCAGAUAAUCCCAUGUUUGCCAAGAACCUAAAUACGAUCCAAAAGUAAGCGAAAAUGAUAUGCAAAAUGCAACUAAGCCCCUGUUUAGGUGUAGAUUAAAACCUAAGUUUUGUAGAUUUUGCUAAAAAUUGAUGAAAUGAGAUUGAGAAGUUGGAGAUCCCAUAGAAUGUGUAGUUAAUUCACACCAAACAGGGGCCAAAUAUGAGCAAUAGUGUUAGAUUAUUAGAAAUACAUGUUCAAUGAUGGAAUUGUCUGUCAAAGCAAUCCUCUGCUUGUUAACCUUGCCAUAGCCCCUCUUGUAUAUCAAUUCUUUCACGCUCUUCAAGUUGGGGUAUCUAAAGAAAGGCAGGGGCAUUUUAAACAUUUGACUUGGUACUUGCAAAAUUUACAAAAGUAAUCAGAUGUAUACCCGUAAGUCACAUAGGGCUCAACUCUGUGCAACAUAUUCAAUGUUGCCUUGUUGACUUUCAGAAAAACGCCAUUAAAAAUCUGCUUCGGGAGAAAUCAACGGAUGAGAAUUACAGGAGCAAAGAGUACAAAGCACAAACAAAGAUACCUCACACUGAGAUAAAAGGUUUUCCACGUCCAGUGCAGGUUUGACUAUGAAAAGUGGAUAUAAAAGAGGGAAAACAAUUGAGAAAACAAAUUCUCAAUGACUGCACUACCAGCAACCAUAAAUAAUAUGAUUUCAUCCAAUAACAUGAUUCAACUUUAUCCAAAACCAUUAUCAAAUAAAUGGAAAUAACUUGAGAAUUGAUGAAUAUCCACUACAUCAGACGCCUAAACUCUCCAACAUUAAAAACAUUUAUAAAACCAAGUAUCCUUCAGUUCAGGUGGUUGUUCACUAACAAAAUGUCAUCACAGUCACCACAUAACAAUUAUGAAUUUAUGCAAAUCCUUUCUUUAGCAAAGUUCAAGCAAGAUAUUCAGGCAACUGGCCAAGCAAGUUUGUUUUCAACAAGGUGCACCACAGAAAAAAUAAAUAUUAUCAGAUAAACAAAACCAUCUAUUCCUGUAAGGUGCAUGAAUCAGGAAUAAUCCCCAUAAAGGUGUAAGACUCAAAGUUAUAAAUGACAUCUAGUAGGUGAGUGCUAGUUUUGUAUAGAAAUUAACAAACAAAAGCUACAACUACAUAGAAGGAUUUCAGAGUAACCUGUCGUAGACGCAAAAGUUGUAAAAUCUUCUUCGUCUGUGGGUGCAUGGCAUUGAUACUGGCAGUCCAAAAAGAAAACAGAAGUGAGUUACAAAGCAGGUUACAUAAUAAACUGAACAAAGUCAGCUAAAAUAACAUCAGAUCAUACCCACGGAUUCGAAUGAGAAACAGCAGCUUAGGCUCAGGGUUGACAUAUAAUCCCCCUUUCAACCUAGCCUCACGCUUCAAUUGAAUUAGCUCCUUUUCCUAAAAUAUGAGGAUUUGCACCACAAUUAGAAACUUAUGAUUGUAAAGAAUUAACAUCAUCAAAAACCAGCAAAAGGAAAUAAACGGAUACACCUGUUGCUCGUAAUCCUUUGAAUACUGUUUGGCUUUGUUGUAGAUAAGCUUGCGUUGCUCUGCCUUCUUCUUCUUAGCAGACUCAAGCUCCUGCUUUUUGACCAAUGCCCAUUCCUCACUCCUCUUCUGUUUCUUAAGUACAGAUUCUGGAACAAUGGGCCCUCCCUUCUCCAUCUCUACACCAAACAUAAAUAAAUUCAUCACCUACUCAAAAAGGGAACCCUAUUCCGCUUUGCAUAAAAUUGCAAUAACCAUAAAUUCCAAACUCAUAAACGCAUAAUCACAUAUGAAAUACUUAUUCUUAUAUUGUUUUUAAAUUUAACUUAUAUUUCUUUUCACCCAUUUCCUGGAUGUGUGGAUUCGCAAUUCCUAAAUGGCAGAGUUAAAAUCUGAUUCAGCCAUCUCAGAUUGCAGUAUUAACACACAAAUGAAAACAAACUCAUAAGAGCGAUUGGUAGAAAUACGUUUACACACAUGAAUACUGUAUACUUAUAUAUCAAAUGCAUAUUUUCUGAUCGUAAAUCAGAAUUCUUUCUAUAUUUAUUUCAUUUCUUCCAAUGAUGCCGGUUAGAAAUUUCUAAUUUCAAAGUACGUAAUUAUUUUAGAGAUCGAUUUAAAAUGCAAAACUAACAAAAGCACUUGCAUAUUAUACACUCCAUAUACCCAUAAGCAAUUUCAGAUUGAUUGAAGUUAAGAAUUCGAGCAGUUAACUUACGGUUCUAUGCGGCGGUGAAAAUCAGACUCCGAUACAGCUACGUAUUAUGGUUAAGAGUGCAGAGCGUGAAAACUAGGGUUUUGUAGUGGUUUGUUUGGGUUCCGGGCCAAAACAGACCCAACGGUCCGAUUCCUAUAGGGCCUUCUUCAUUUUUUCAUAUUGAGGCCCAUCAGUAUACGGCAUUCUAGGAAUUUGGCUAAAAUAGCACUUCCAAAGGCUAAUUAUCGACUCAAAGUACCGGUGAGUUAUAUUGCUUUAUUUUAUUUUAUUUUUCCCUCCUAAAUCGAUUGCGAUCAAGAUUCUUGCCUCUAGUCGAAAAGUUGAUAAUAUAUAUGUAAUCCUAUCACGUCACAAAAUAGUUAACGUGUCGUGUAAAUUGGACAAAAAGGUUAAACGUUUAACUAUCGUCUUUGUAAUAAGAAGAAUCGUAUUUGUACACAUACGUUAUUGACAAAAUACAUAUAUUUGUAUGCAUUCAUUAUUGACACAAAUACACAUAUAAAUAGAAGAAAAUGACUUCCAUUAUACAUGUCAACAAUAGCUACAAGGAAGACGUAAAAUAUUUUUAAAAACAAAAAAUUACAUAAACUUCUAGUUAGAACAAAGGAAAACUAAGGUCCUGUCUGAGUCUCAUUUUUUCUGAGAAUAGAUUUUGUAAUAGUGAUUUUUUAGGAAAAUACAUGAUUUUUUAGUAGAAGUUUUUUUUUAAUUUGCAUGCGAAAUUAUUUUAUUAAAAGAUAAUGCAUGGUUGAAAAUGAGUUUGAGGGAAAAUGAAUUUUAAGAGGGUGGGGGUUCAAACAUGAGCUAAAAGCACUGCGUCUAAUUGCCCUACUCUUGAAUUGUUUAACUUAAGGGAAAUUAUUAGAUGUGAAGAGCUAUUGAUAGCAAUAAAAGAGUACGAUAGAUGUGUGACAAAAAUAAAAAGUAUGAUACAUAUGUGACAAGGGAACGUAUUCACUAAUUAUAUGGAUGACAAAAAUACCUGUCAAACUCGAUACCCGAAUGGGGCAGAGAUUGCCUGGUUAAUCGGGUAAUUGGCUUAAGUAAGGGGCGGAGAAUUCUGCCCCGAGGCGCGUACGAAGAGGAUACAGGUAACAAGGGGCCCUCCCUUUUUAUUAUUUCUUUUUUAAGAAUUCAGUACUUUAAAUAGAAAAAUUCAAUGAAAUUUCAUUAAUUUUAAUAGAAUAUGGCAAUUAAGAUUAUCUAAGAAAUAUGAUAAACAACAAAAACCUUAGUUUACCAAAUAUAUUUUAAUAAUUUUACUUUUAAAAAUAAAUAAAUUAAUUAAAAAAUUUAAUAGCUAUAUUAUUGUCUCACUUGAAUAAACGGGGAUAAAUAAACUGAAUUAAAAAAAAGUUAAACGAGGGCCUGCCCCCACCCUAAAUGGGUAACACGACGCGGGGUGGGCGUGGGGGUGGGGGGAGUUUCCAACCUUGAUUGAUUAUGAUAAGUUGGAUAAGCCUUGAGAAGACUCAAAAACCGACUCCAACAGUAAGCCUCGGAUCACCAAUUCAAAUUCAGAUUAGUUGUAUCUUAUAACUUCCUCCUCAGAAUGAAAUGGAAUGGGUUUCGGACCAAAUGUGAAUUUUUUCUAUGACCAUUGCAUAACUUUUCUCUAUUAUUAUUAUUUUUUUUAAAAUUUCGUCCUUUAUUCAUAACUAUUUCACUUUUUCUUGUAUCAUUGACGUGCAUGGGUGUAUUUAAACUAUAGAGACAUUCAUUAGGAAAUAAAUAAUCUUUUACCCUAUUCUUGUGUUCUGAAUAUGGUAUUGAAGCUUUAAGCAAACUCUUACCAUUCACACUCAAAGAUACCGUCUUUUUCCUUCUCUUCCGACUCCCAUCUUCCAUCCUAAACGUCCCUCUGUUCCACUCAAUUCUCGUCCAUCUUUUAUACCGGGAAUUUACUUAAUCAUGUACAGGAGAAAAUAAAAUAAAUUUCAAUUUCUACCAAGGAUCUACUUUGUUUUUAGAUAGAAACUGUGAAAGAAUUAUACAUUUGUUAAAUUUUACGAACUCCUUUGUUGAUCUUGUAACACGAACAAUCACAAUCUGCAAUCUACAGUUGUUUAAUUGUCUAACUUCCAAUGAAAAUUCACACAGUGUACAAAAUUGAGAGAACUAGUGUUUUCUUUCCUUAUACUAGCAAAAAUAAUUAUGCUCUCUUCUGAUUUUUCCAAACCCUAGCAACCUAUUAAUACAAGUUCAAGUGGCUUAGCCCAUCUUUUAAGUUAAUCUGAUCCAAUGUUUAAUUAAUCCAAUUAAUUAAAUUUGAUUCAUGAAUUAAUUAAUCCAAUUAAUUAAAUAUGAUUCAUGAAUUAAUUAAUUCGGACAUAUUAACCAACAAUCCAAUUAAUUAAUUAUUCAGCACUUGUCAAUUAAUUAAUUGGUAAAUCUCAUUCUUCUAGUUUUUCCUUUUGUGUGUAAUACAUUAGGUCCCCAAUCACGGUAUUUAUUUAUGUAAAUUAUUAUUUUGAUCUAAUCAAAAUUGAUAAAUUAAAAAUAUCCCUUUUUAAUUUAUCACUAAUUUAUAUCCGUCGUCUUAGAAUUACAUUUAGCAAUGUAUUAGGACCAUAAAUAUGACGAGAAAUGUCAUGUGGUAUGAUAAAAUCAAACUUAUUUGUUUAUCAUAGAACUAUAGUCUCUUCAUCAAUAUGACUCAGGUGGACUUGACCCAUCUCUUAAGUUAAUUCGGUCAAAUAUUUAAUUAAUCCAAUUAAUUAAAGUGAAAAUUACAGGAAUUAAUACAUUUAGAGAUCUUAUUUCACAAAUCAUAUGUUAAGUUUACCAUUUCAAAAAUCAAAUGUUUUGUUAGUCAAUAUAUAUAAUUCUUCCUCAUUCUUCACUCUCUCUAUAUAGAAUCUCCUCUCCUCUCCUCCCAUCCUCGCCGCUCUCUCAUUGUCCCUCCCCAUCGAUUCACAGUAGUCGCUUAUUGCUCUCUUUCCAUCGAUUCAUAGUGGCAAGCAUCGUUUGCCACUAUUAACGACAUUGUGCAGCGUCGUGCUUCUGUUCUCAGCAACGUCGGUGCCUAGCAUCAAGGCAAGUUAUGGAAAAUGUUGUCUCCUUGUGUCUAGGAGAUGCACCUUCUUAGUCGGCACGACUUCAGCAAUACAGCCUUGGAGAAAUUAAGUUUGGGUGUUGGUGGUGGUUGCGUUGGUGACACGGUUGCAAUAGUCCUGUUCUAUGGUCAUGACUGUCCUGGUGUUGCUGUCGAAAGAUGGUAGUAGUGGUUCCAUCCACUGUGGUGCUGUAGUUGGGGUGUGUGUACGCGUACAUACAACGGCAGUAGUGGUUGCGGCGAUGGUUGUGGUGGUGAUGGUAAGAUGUUGGUGGAAAUGGGUUUGUCGAGGUGGUUAUGGAUCUGGUGCGACGAUGUGGUGGUGCUUUUUUGCAAUGUGUUGACUUAUUUGAAGUGGUGGUGGUUCUGGUGACGAUGGCGGUGAUGAAGCAAAAAGUAGUGGUGAGAUGGUAGUCGCAAGUGUUGGUGGUGGUCCCAAAUUAUUUGGUUGAUUGUGACUAUUAAAUUAAUUAAUCUAUAACCAAUAAAAUAAUAUGUGAUCAAUGAAAAAUAUAAAUUGUGAUAAAAAAUAAUAAUGUGUGACUUAUACUAUUUGUAAUUUGUGAUUGAUAAAUAAAUUAUGACUUAUAAAUUUUUUUAUUUGUGAUCGAUGAAUAAAAUAUGAGCUAUAAAAUUUUUGAAGUGUGACUGUAAAAUAAUUUGUAACGUAUAAAAAUUUUGAUUUGUGAUCGAAAAAUAAUAUGUCAUAAACUAAAUCAUUAAUUUGUAAUCUUAAUAUAUUUAAUUAAUAAAAUAUAUAAUUAAAUAAUUAAAUCAUGAAUAAAUUUUAAUAAAUAUCUUAUUUUUGAUAUUUAAACAUUUGUUCUUAAUUUUGAAAUGGGUGAUAUUUAAUAUAUUAAUUAUGAAUUUUUCGUGACAAAAUCAAACUUGUUUGUUUACUAUAAAAUCACAAUCUUUUCAUCAAUAUGAUUCGAUCAAUUACUAGAUAUGAAUAUGUGUCAAUCUUAAUUAUUGACCAUAUCUUUAAAUAUGAUUUGUUUAAUUACUAGUUAUGAUUAUGUAUCAAUUUCAAUUAUCGAUUAUAUUUUUCAUCUUAAUUAAUAGUAAGUCGAAAACUCAUCUUUGACUUAUGAGUAUACAUUAGUUAAGGAUUUCAUUAUGAAUUUAGCUGAAUAAAAUGUAAAUAAUAAUCUUUUACUAUCUAAGAGUGAUGAAUCAUUUAUUGAUCAUUAACAACCUUCAUAUGAUUUUUGAUAUACCCGAACGAUGUCAUAUUAGCGGCAUUUGACAGAACAACAUCAAUAUCAUCAAAAUAUGACUGUCCUCAUAUAUGACAUUAUGAUGACAUCAAGACAAAGGAUCAAUUUCAUUACCGAACGUUAGAGAUUAACCACUGACACUCUAAUAAUUAUUCAUAUGGAAUCUCCCAGAGGGUCUUCAAUGCUUUGUUUUAUAACAGAACAUCUACGUGUUUAUUUAAAUGUCACCAUACUUUAGUUUGUGAGAUCAAUUACUUACUUCACAAGUGAGAAAAUAUUACACAUGAUAAUAUAUCUAUAAUAACAAUAUUCAUAUAGCGUUAUUACUUACAACUAUGAAUGAUUUAAGAUUCAGUCAUAAGUAAUUUGUAUUUUACAAUCACAACUUUUUGUAAUUAACAAAUUAUUAAAAUUUGAAUUUAUGGACUCCAUUAUUAAUUUAGCCACUGCCUAGAGCUCAUUUUUAAUAAGUUUAUUUUUUCUUUUAAUAAAAAGUGCAAAAGUUAAACCUGAUUUUUAAUUUGCCUUUAUUGGAACAUUGGAAAUUGGUUGUACUCAUUGACCCACACCUAGCCAAGUCUAUUGACUUCAUUACCUGCCCCCAGGACAUAUCUUCCAAUGGCAAAGGGGAGGGCGGAUAGAGCUCAGCGCGACAGUGUGCAGAGUCCAAUUCCCCGCAAGGUGGAAUUGACUUUGUUGCAAGCGGGAGUAACCAUAUGGAUUAACAGCCUUGGUCUAUCCAUGUGCUCUCCACCCUGGCUCCUGAGAGACACAUCCUGCGAUUUACCUCCUCCACGAUGGCCCAAGACAGGGUCGAUGGGGACCCUUAAGGUUGGGGUUCAACCUUUUUAUUGACUUCAUUACCUAUAGUAACAUGUCAAGGGCAAUUUUGUAAAAUAAGGUGAAUUACAUGUGGAACACUCCAUAUAAAAGUCAAAAAGUUAGAGCUCUCGUGAACGAUGCAACAAUUUGAGAAGCGGGGACCACAAAUCAUGAAAAUUGGAAUGGAAAAUGUGCAAAUAAUGGGGCCACACAGACUGUUAAUUGAAUAUUAAUGAAAUAAUAUACAUAGUAAAAUUAUAUCAAUUAUAUAUUAAAAACAUUUAUGUCCAAAAUUAAUUGCACUUAGACCAUAACAUUUGCAUUCUAUUUAGGAAAAGAUACAAGAAUUUUAUUUUUAGCCCCGUUUGAUUCCCUAUUUUGAUCAUAAAAAUGAAAAAUAUGAUCGUUAUUUAUCAUAUUAAAUCAUCAUAUUUAAUUUUAUAUCUCUUGUAUAAAUUUCGUAACGACUAUAUUUUUCAUUUUUUUACUUACAAAAAUGAAUGCUAAACGGGGCAUUAAUUAUAUCAUGCACAAAUAUCAAAACAAAAUAAAAAUAUGAAAAUUUUGAAUACCAGUGACAAAAGCUGCUGUCUAUCGAAACUUGGACCCUAAAAAUUCACAAAAUUAAAGCUAUGUAUAGGAAAAAGAAUGGUGCUUCAAUCAAGGCUGUAGAAUUCUAUCAGAAUACACAUAAAUAUGAGUGGAGUGGGAUUUUUGGGGGUACUUCUUUAAUGAGUUGGAUUUCACUUCAUAUUUCACAUCUGACGAAUUUCUAUGAGAAGGCAUUCUGUACAUUCAGCAAUUCUGUAAGAAAAAUUAUUGUUUUAUUGUAAUUUAGGAUGUGUUUGUCACCCAUUAUUUGGGAAGAAUGUAUUAUGAAAUAGUGAUAAAUGUUGAAAUGUAUGGUUAAAAAAGAAGAUUUUUUUUAUUUACAUGUAAUAUCAUUUUAAUAGAGAAUGUGUAAUUAAAAAUGUGUACUGUAGAAAAAAUAAUAAAAAGAAAUGAAAGAAAAUGAAUAACAAACGUGGCUUAAAGUCAAAGUCAAAUUAAUUUAAAUUACAUGUUCAUAACUACAAGUAAUUAUCCACAUACUUGUGGAACAUCGCUUCUCUUCGUUGUAAUUUCUCCAAAACAGACACUAAAUAAUAAAAUAAAAUAUAUGACAUAAAUAAAUUAUAACCUAUUGACACAAUUAAAGGACUCUCGACUGUCUGCCAUUUUAUGUCGGAGGACUCCAAUAAUUUCUAAGUCAAUCUUGUUUUUAUUCUCUUUUCUUUCAUCGAUAUUCCUAACACUAAUGUUUAUAUGGAGCAAUGUGGGCCAAUAAUGAGCUGUCAACUUUUUUAUUAUUGUCCUCUUAGUUUAUCUUUUAGCGUGAGGGAAAUUUCCUGGGAAUUUCAUUUUGUGAUUGUGAUUUAUAAUGUUAUUCAUGACAAGUGACUGUAAUAGUUAUUCUAUAUGAUACCUUGUUAUUGAGAUAUUAGUUUUUUUUUUUUUUUUUUUUUUAUAAGAAUCAUGUUAUAGAUUGUUCACAUUAUGAAUCACAGUACACUCACAUGCAAGGAGUGAAAUCCACGAUUAAAAUAAUUGUGGACACCACUCGCAAGAGAGGGCUGUAAUUGUACAAUCCUACAUGGAUUGUACAAACAGCAAUACCCUUUUUAUAAUUUUGCUGCCUCAAAUAAUAAGGUAAUGUUUUAAAUAACAAGUUGCCACAUAAAAUGAUUAUUGUAGUCGAUAGUCGCUAACUAUUAAUAAUAGUAUUGUUUAUGUAACAUGUUUUUAUGAAAAAUAUAAAUUCGAUCUGCUUAUAAAAGACGGAUUAGGAUGUCUAGUACAUAUUUUCUAUUAGCUGUCAGAACAACACACUAUCACAAUCCCAAGCAUACGAGGAAUUUCCUAGAAACUUUGUUCCACCAUUUUUUUAUUGUGCAUGUAACAUGCUUCUGAUAAAAAGUAAAUUUAGAUUGCUCGUGAAAAACGAAUAAAGAUGUUGGGUACAUAUUUUUCAUACAGAAUGAAAGAGGCUCUUGUUCGUAAGAGUGACACACUUUGAAUAGAAUACAGUGAAAAUGAGAUAGUGGAUAAAAAGUAACACGAUAUGUUAAUGCUCUAAAUGUUUUAAUAGAUCUAGCAAUGAAUCCAAUCGAAGCAGUGAGCAAAUUAAUGAUUCAUUAAUCGACAUUAAACGAGACUCAAAUUGUUUAUGAAUCAAGAAUAAUUAUAAAAUUUUGACAUUUAAAUUGAUAGAUUACAUUGACAAAUAUAUCAUCCAUGUUUUGGUAAAUUGCUAACAUCCUUAAUCUCAAAGUUGCAUUAGAAUUUUCUUCAAGAAUAUUUUAAACAAAUUCUCUUUAAACUUCAAAAAUCUCAUAGUUGGUAGGCAAUUAUAUUUAGGGCUUGUCUAGGAGAGCUUUUUCUCCCAAUUUGAGCAAUUACUUGAACGUUAUUCACUACAGAAUGGGUUCCAGAUUGGUAGCAAAAUUUGAUGUUGUUUUAAAUGAAAUAUCCAAAAUGCCCGUCUUGCAUGCAAAAUGAAUUUAAUAUUAAGUGUAAAAAGGUCGUUUUGACAUAACAUGGCCCAAAAUUGCGUCUGCAAUGUCUGAAAUUCUGUAACAGCCGUAUUAUCUUGGUGAAAAGCAACGGUCCAAAUUUUAGUUAUCAACAGUUGAAAUUGCAAUUUUAAGUGCGCCGAGACAGGGGCUUAAUAUGAUCCUAGCUACCAUUCACUUAUUAUUCAAGCAUCUAAUAGAAUUCAUAAUUCACAAUUACUUAAUUUUAAAUUUAAUCACCUAACCAAACAUGCACCAAUUCAGGGCCACCCCUGACUAUAGGCCCCGCUUUAAUGAAGUCAUAUUUUAACGAGAACUCCAAAUUAUGUAAGAUUACUUGAUUCAUUAAAGAAAAACGAAAAUUAUAAUUACAAAAUUCUUUAAAUUAGAAUUAUCAUAUGCAAACACAAGAAAUUAGUACAACCUCUCUUAAAAAAUAUAUAUAUAAGUCGCAUAAAACUUAUCACGUACAUUUAUGUAGCAUAUAAAUAUAUCACUCCAUUACUUUCUCAAUAUAUAAUUAAUUUGACCCUUUAUAUUCCCAAACAUCAUUUUUCUUUUUAUUAACAAGAAAGAAAAAGUCACUUUUUCUCUCUUCAAAGUCUACCAUCAUUAUUAUUAUUAUUAUUAUUAUUUUGAAUAAUGUUAUCUACACCAGUGGUGUUAGCAUUAAUUUACAAAUUAUAAUGCUAUAGACUCAAUUAAAGGUCGAAUUAUGCGAUUCAUUUAAUUGUGCCGAUCAUUUAAUGCUCUCAUGGUGGGUCUUAUACUUCUUCAAAGAGUUGUUGCUAAAGUCACUGGUAUUCAUUUCUCUCUAUUCUUGCAUUUCGUUUUAUUUGCCCUUUUUUUUCCACUUUUUAGUGUCAAUGUAAUGAUUAAUGUUUUAAUUACACUAAUGCUUCUCGAUGUGUUAUAUAAUCUGGUUUUGGCUUUUCUCGAUCCACUUAUUAUUCAUUUUUUUUCCAUGUUUUACGUUUGUGCUGAGUUUAAAUCUUGUAUUUUGUCUUCCUGUUUUCCUGAUUAUGUUUAAAUGUUUUUUAAUUGCAUUUAAUUAUUUUCUAAGUCAAAAUUAACAAUUAAUUUUAAUCACACAUUUAAUAGGACCUUCAAUUUUUCAACCACACAUUAUUAAUUUUUAUCAAAAUCUACUAAAACCUUAUUUUAAUUUGUAUCAAACAAGGGCUUAAUAGUUAUAGGAGUCCAAUAUUUGAAGUUGGCAUAAAACCCUCAAAAUACCAUAGCUGCACCAAUUUUACAUUUUAUGUAAUGAGAGCAAACAAUUAUAUAGCCAACAUAGUAGUUAAAAUACGUCAAACAUUUUAUUAAGUACCUGUUUGACCUCCAAUUUUUAAAACUCAUUUUUUCCUGUAGUCAUUUUUAAACGCACAUUUUAUUAACUUUUAUUGAAGCCCAUGUUUGGUCUAGAUUAAAAUUUUGAUUAAAAUCUAAGUCAAAUUCAACAAUUAAGUUUAAUUACACAUUUCAUCGAAUUCACAAAUUUCCAACCACAUAUUUCAUUAACUUUUAUCAAAAUAUGCUAAAAUUUGAUUUUUAUUAAAACCGAAUAGGGACAAAAUCUAUUAAAAGAUUUUUUUUUUUAGCAAAAUCAGACAUAUUAAGAGCCUGUUUGAUGUCCAUUUUUUCAAAUAUUAUUUUAAUGAAAAUUGUGUAAUUAAAAAUAAGAAAUUUUUUUGGAUUAACAUGUGAUAUUAUUUUAUUAAAAAUGUGUAGUUGAAAAUAAGAAAGGAGAGAGAAAGAAAUGCAUUUGGAAAAUAAUAGAGACUAAACAAUUAAACAAAGACUAAAUCAAUCACGUGACAUUAUUUCAUAAUCAUUUGAUAACACCUCUCAACAAAUAAUAAGAAGAUUAUGAAAACAAAACUAUGUAGUUGGCUCCACCCACUCUAGUGUUGGUUAAUAUAGUGUAUGGAUAACAAGACGAUAAGUUUAAUAACGUACGAACGAAGUUAAACAAAGUGACAACUUGAUAGAAACCGACAUAGAAAUGAAGAAGAAUGGAUGGAAAGCAUCCGAAGCAAGUGAUAACACUUUUUCCUUAGAAUAAAUUUAUUACGCAACAGUGCUAACGGAGUAACCAAAACUAUUUCCCAAGUUACAACAUAUUACUUCCUUAUAGUAGAUGUACUUCAAAACAACAAGGCAAUAAUGAAUUCAACGAAAUUUUUCUCUUUACAAAGAAUGAUUUGGAUGCAAAGUUUGAGAGAGUUUUGGCAAGAAUUUUUGAUGCAAGACUCAAGAAUAUGAAUUGGAAUGCUUAAAUGAGUUCCAAAGGGUCCCAUUUACAGAAGAGAAGUGGUUGUGAAUGAAGAUGCACGCCCUAAAACUCAAUAACUUUCAAGAAAGGACGCACCCCUCGAUGUCACUAACCUGGCUCUGGUGCUCCGCUUGAGCACCAAUGACACCUUUUCAGCAGAACCGAUAUAGCUCGCUUGGCGUUAGCAUAUCGCUUGAGCGACGGCCUUAGCUAAAUUUUGGCAUUUUCUAUUCGUUUUUUUUUAACUUUGGACUGCAAUUUCUUAUUUAUUUUGAAUUAAUUUCGAGAUUCUAAAUAUACAACAAUCAUCUACUCAACGAAUGGAAACAAAUUAGUCUAUUUAUUUUCAUAAUUUGACUAUCGAAUCCAGUUCAAAUAUUUAGCCGAAAUUGACACGAAAAGUCAAUUUUCAUAAUUUUAUGCUUAUAAUCAAUUUUCAUAUAUUUAAAAACCAAUUUCCAGCCCCCCGGGGCACAUCUAAGUUGGCGGAACAAUCACAUUGGGGGGCUCUGGAACCAAGCGUAGGGAGUUCAAUUUCUGGUGGGAACCUUUGAUCCAAUAAAGGAGGAAUUAUUGGUGGAUUAAUCACUAUGGAGGAAGGCUCCCUUUGGGAAAGGAGUAAAAGCCGUGUGGGAACCUGGGAACCAACAAGGGCACAUCCCGCGAUUUACCUCUCUGAGCUGCUGAGGGGCCGGAGGUUUAGCGACGAGGAUAUAGUCUGACGCAAGCUGGGACACCUCGUUAAAAAAAAAAAAAAAAAAACAAACCAAUUUCCAACAUCUAGUUAGGCCAAGUUGGACAAAAGUGUCUCACUCAACAUGACUAGAUGUACACGAGACAUGCAUGCACAAUGUCUAUCAUGUCACAUCAAGUACGAGGUCAUAAUAAGCUUUCUGACCAGGGUAACAUGUGCCUUGGCCAUCCAGGGAGACCAUCAUGCAGAUUAAUUCUGAUAUCAAUUCAGCUAGGUAUGGCAAUGGGAUGGGGCGCGGGGUAACCUUUUGACUUGUUUGUUGUCUCGUUUAAUUUUUUUUUAUAUUAUUAAAAUUUCGAGCUAUGUCAUUAUUAGAAAAUAAAAUGCAAAUUUAAUGGAUGAAUUGUCUAAAAAUAAAAUUAUUUUUAAUUUUUUCCUUCACGGGACGGGUUCAAGGCGGGACAUCGUCGUCCCACCAUGCCCCAUGCCCGACGGGGUGGCCUCGCCCUGCCCCGCCCUGCCAUCCCGUUCAGGGCGGGAACAAGGUUUGUGGAAAUUUCGUACUCUUCAAUUCACUGUAUAGUUCUCAUGGGGUACUUUUAAUUUUGACCCGAUCAAAGGAGCAAAAUUUCAGUUUGACUUCCAAAAUAAUGAAUAUUAUGAUAUUGGCCUCUUGUAUGGUAAAAAACAAAGAUACCCUUAAAUGUUUUGUACAAUUACAAAACCAUAUAUUGUUGAAAGGACUAUACUACCCUUUUACUUAAUAAUUGAAAACCAAACAUUUCCCAACUUAUAAAAACUUCAAAACGAGCUUCCAACACAGAAAAAACUAUCAUCUUUUCAUCUGCUUGAACCUCAAAAUUUAGAAGAACUUUGGAACGUUGAAGCUGAAAUUUUUUUCACAUCAAUUACUUCAAAUCGGUAAGUACAUUUAAUCAUGUUUAAUUUCGUUUUAAGUAAAUUAGUAUACGUUAAAUAGAGAAAUUUUAUAUCGACAUAGAUUUUUUUUUAACAGAACCUAUCAAAAAAAAAUUAAACGGAUGUAUAACUUACGUUUAAAUUACGCAUGCUUAAUUUCGUUUUUAGAACGGUAUUCUCCUACGCCAAACUGGUUUAGCUUAACAAACAGUCGGAAAUAGUCUGAAACAGCCGGAAAACAGUCGGCUGUUAAAUAUCCAACAGCCGGCUGUUUAAAAGCCGAACGGCCGGCUGUUAGGCUAUUAAACAGCCUUCGCUGCAGCUGAUUUUUUGCCUUUUUCUUUCUUAUAAUUAAUAUUUGAAGUUGAUUAAAAUCAUUUUCUCAUGCAGAUAUGAUAAUCCCCGUGUGUUAUUUCGGUGAUUUCGAAUUAAAUGAAAAUAAUCGGUGGGAAUGGAGAUAGACGAGUGACAUACGUGGUUGUAUUGCAAUUCCCGUAACAGAGAGUACACCAUAUUUAGAAAUGUACCACGAUUUGCAAAAUAAGCUGAAAGUCGAUCAAUCUCAAUACGAUACGCAUUUGAGAUAUCUAUUCAACGGUUAUGGGGAUUCAUCCAUUCCGAUGCCACCGGUAUUUGUUACUAAUGAUGCUGAAUUGAAUUAUCUAUUAGAAUUGAAUAAAAUGCAUCGGACUCCAACUGUUCUUGGUGUGACUUUAAUUACGAAGGAUGUUAUCGAAAGUGAACGUGAAGAUUCGGAUAGGGCGGAUAACAAUGAUCGAGGUUUUUGGGAGACAGUGGAGAUAGUUCCUGCGGAUGAUGUGAGUAUUCCUGAGACAGUUGCUUCUGAUCGUAAUGUCGCUGUUACGCGCAGAAUUCCGUCAACAGUUGAAGACAAUGAGAACAUAAACGACUUUACAAAUGAGAAUUUGAUUGCUUUAUCCCGACAGAGACACGAGCCUGGUGGGAGCUCACAGGUUGGAACAAGUGGACCGUCCUCGAAUUCUUCACGUGUGGCUCCCGAUGAUGACGACUUGCAGGUCAGGCAACUGUUUGAAACCAAGAAAGAUUUGCAGGAAGCUGUGCACCGGCUGGCAUUAAAAUAUAACUUUAAGUUCAAGGUAAAGAAAUCAAACAAGUCAUUGUUGACAGUUGCUUGCGUCGAAGACAGUUGCAAUUGGCGCUUAAGAGCAACUAAGAUGGACACGAAUGAGUGCUUCGUAAUUCGCAAGUAUUUACGGGAACAUACUUGCGAACUGGGAAUUCUUCGAAACGAUCACAGGCAAGCUCGAGCAUGGUUUAUUGGUCGACAGAUAAUGCACAAGUAUCAGGAUCCACGGACGAUCUACAGACCUUCAGACAUCAUUAACGACGUCCGUCGAGAGUACGGAGUGAUCAUGAGCUAUCAGAAAGCGUGGAAGGCCAAAGAAUGUGCGUUGGAGGAUUUAAUGGGAUCGGCUGAAGAGAGCUAUGCUAAAUUGGCUAGGUAUUGCCAUAACAUGGGGACAACUAAUCCUGACACGGCAUUUUUUAUUGAGAUGGGGGGUGAUAAUUGUUUUAAGUAUUUCUUCAUGGCUCUUGAACAAUGUAUUCGGGGUUUUCGAAAUGCAAUGCGACCCGUAAUUCUAGUUGAUGGUACGACUCUGGAAGCUAAAUAUCAAGGUAAAUUAAUUAUUGCUACAUGUCAAGAUGCCAACAUCCAAAUUUACCCUAUUGCAUUCGACAUAGUCGACAGCGAGAAUGAUCUGUCUAUGCGUUAGUUCUUUUCUAAACUGAGGGAAGUGAUUGGGGAAGUCGAAGACCUUGCCUUUGUAACCGAUCGAGGAUAGUCUAUAAUAAACGGUAUCGCUGAAGUAUUUCCCGAGGCACAUCACGGGUAUUGCAUGUAUCAUAUACAAGGUAAUUUGAAGACUAGGUAUCGGGGCACAGGCAUCGUUUCAUUAUUCAGGAGAGCAGCCGAAGCUUACAGUGCUGAAGAGUGUAAUAAGUUCAUGCUCGAGAUAGGAAGUAAAUCAUUACCGGCGUUGGAGUAUCUGACGAAGAUGGGGAUCGAACAUUGGGCGCGGGCAUACUUUUCAGGACGUCGAUACAACAUAAUGACGUCGAAUAACGCGGAGUCUCUCAAUGCAUUGUUUAAGAAGGAUCGAGAGUUACCAAUUCUCGCAAUGAUUGAGAACAUUUGUAACAAGCUACAACAGUGGUUUCAUGACCGACGUGCGGCAUCAGAGAGUUGCACUAGCGUGCUGGCUCCAGCUCAAGAGGAGAAACUGUUUAAGGCGACAGAGGUGCGAGGAAGUUGAAUGUGGAAGCACUAGAUGAGUUUCGCUUCUCCGUGCAAUGUGCACGUAAUACGGCAUAUAUGGUGGACUUGACUGAUAACACGUGCACUUGUACGAGAUUUCAGUUAGAGAGUUUUCCAUGUGAGCAUGCUGUUGCGGUGGCCAUGUAUCGAGGCUUUGCUGUGAGAACGUUGUGCUCUUUGUAUUAUACGACUGAGUCUUGGAGAACAGCAUAUGCUGAGACUAUAUUUCCUCUACUGAAUGAAGCCGAGUGGGAAGUUCCCGAACACAUUCUCCCAUUUCAUAAUUUGUUACCACCAGCAGUUGAAUCGCGUGGUCCUGGACGUCCAAGUACAUCUAGAAUACCAUCUACCGGAGAGUUUCCUCGACCGCGUAGGUGUGGUCGGUGCAAAGCCGUAGGGCAUACUCGACAAUUUUGUACCAGUCAAAUUCCCUUAAAUGACGACUAGACAGGUACGUGAAAUGAAUAAUAUUUCCUUUUACUAUACACUGUUCAAUAUUUGUUAUUUAUAAAUCUUUAAUAUGCAAAAAAUAGUUCCGCACUCGGCAUACGGGUAAAAUAACAAAAAAUAAUUAAAUUUCCAAUUUGAAUGUUAUAUUACAUUGAACACAAAUUUACAAUUAUUUCAAAAUUACCAAAAUAAUGAAAUUUUCAAUUUGAAUGUUAUAUACAUUGAACACAAAUUUACAAUUAUUUCAAAAUAACAAAAAAUAAUGAAAUUUCCAAUUUGAAUGUUAUAUACAUUGAACACAAAUUUACAAUUAUUUCAAAAUAACAAAAAAUAAUGAAAUUUCCAAUUUGAAUGUUAUAUACAUUGAACACAAAUUUACAAUUAUUUCAAAAUAACAAAAAAUAAUGAAAUUUCCAAUUUGAAUGUUAUAUACAUUGAACAAAAAUUUACAAUUAUUUCAUAAUUACAAAAAUAAUUAAAUUUACAAUUGAAAUGUUACAUAUGUAUAACUGAAAUUUAUGGGUCAGCAUUAAAUUCGAACAAAUCACAUGCUAGCUUCUUUCUCCAGUUCUGUAUCCACGACUGGUUGAUUUCAUCAACCUUAUGUCCUAUACUUAAAAAUUCAACGUACUUAAUGACAAAUAUGCCACAGUCGCCGCUGCAAUUGAACAAGAAUGAAUCAGUUUAGUACUGUGUAAAUAAAAACUAAAUCUGAAAGAUGAAAACAACAACGUUCAAACACUUACCUUACGGACUGUCGCGCUGUAGUCGUGUUCCGAACGAUCCGCAAUCUGUCAUGUACAUUUAUCCCCGCUCGUCUGGCCAUCAUAGGAACAAUGAUAGCCAUGGACUCCAGAUUUUGCUCCAAUUGGCCUUGUAUCAAACAUGAAUGAUCUGGGUCGUACACAUAUAUAGUCGAGUCAGCAAAAACGAUCUCUAGCGUAACAUAAUGUUUAUUGAUGCACGCUGGAAUGUACAUAUGUGUACAACCCUCCCAUGAUUUUCCCCGACACUUAGUGACAGUCCUAUCAGCCACUCGAGCGUAUAUUCUGGCACCAUGUACUCGUUACCCAUAUGUGCGAGCGACUGAUACUCUAUGGUAACGGCACCCAGGAACUCGGUGUUUAAUAUGACUCGACCAUGGACAUUAAAUGAUUUUGGAUGUCUUUGAGCUCGAUCUCGCAGCAAGUCCAUGGCCAAGUCGAUGUGCUGCAGCAGGAAACACCGAAAAAGUAUGAGUUAUUCAUUUAAUAAACACAAGGUCACAUAUACAUAAAAAACACGAAAUGAAUAGUUCACUUACAUCGUCGGCGAGCCAAGCUCCCGCAGUGGUGAUAUCGUGGAACCACUUGUAAGGGUCCGAGAUAGUCCUUUGUCUUAUCGUGCGGCUAGCUCUGUAAAAAACAGGGAAAUAUUAAAAUAAGCGUAGACGAGUUAGCGUACAGUGCUUUAUUAAAAUCAUACAAUACUAACCCGGGGAUAAUUCUCCUCCACUCUGUCUCGAACGCUUUCCACUUGGCAUUGUCCACCUCUCUGAAUAAGUUCGGGUACGUCCCAUCGAUAAACGUCCUCCUCUUGGCCUCAGCCGUGAAGGGGGAAACAACAUACUGUGACGGUACUCUCAAUCUCUUGCCGACCACCUGCUCCGUCUCAUCAACAGCAUGUCUCUUACCCUCAAUCACGCCGGGCGUCCUCUCGACCUCCGGGGCCACCUCCUCCUCCCCCUCCCCCUCCGUCACCACCACCUCUGCCCCUCCCGUCGGGGCCUCCCCCUCCGUCGCCACCUCCUCCGCCCCUCCCGUCGGGGCCACCCCCUCCGUAGUCCCCUCUUCCAUCCCAAUUGGAGCCACCCCCUCUAUAGACAACCACAAGGACUCCAAUGUCUCAUCACGUCAAAAAUGUGGGUGAUCCCCCUCUCCAUCACCAUCUCUGCCACCCUCUCGAUCAUGGUCUCCGCCAUCCCCUCUGUCCCCCCAUCGUCUGCCGGCUAAAUCUCCCCUAAGCGCCGCUACUGUAUCCUGAAGGUCGACAACGGAAGACUGUAGUAUUCCAACAUCAUGGGAUAGAUCGUCAACCCUCCCUGUCAACUCUCGUCCCAUAUCGUCGACCCUCCCUGUCAUAUAGUCAACCUUCCCUGCCAGAUCGUCGACCCUCCCUGUCAACUCUCGUCCCAGAUCAUCGACCCUCUCCGUCAAAUCUCGUCGUAGUGCGCCGACCUCCUCCGCUAUAAAUCCAAUCAAACGGGCAUACAAAUCAUCACUGUGCCCCGGAGACACAUGGUGGAAGUGUCUGGACGGAGGUGAUGCCAAUGGCGGCGGCGAUGGCCCUGGCAGAGGUGAUGCCACUAGCGGCGGUGAUGCCCUCGACGGAGGUGAUGCCAAUGGCGGGGACGAUACUCUCGGCGGAGAUGAUGCCAAUGGUGGCGGCGAUGGCCCCGGCGGAGGUGAUCAUCGAUCAGCUGGACCGCCCUCCUACAUAAAUAAAAUGAAAAAUUAUUCAAUAAAUUAUUCAAUAAAUUUAUACGUCGAUCAUAUUCAAUAAAUUAUAUUUCAUUCACAUACCCAAUCUCAGUCCAAACUCGGAUCAGGCAUCUCCUCGUCUGGGGUGUGCGGAACGCCUAAAUCCCGCACAAGACCCCGAGCCUCCUCUUCCAUCGAUGGCAUCAACUCAGGUAUGACUUUAAACUGACAUAUUGACAUUUCAACUAUUUAACGAUCAUGUAAACAAAAUUUUAAACUACGUAUAAUAUAAAUCACAAAUGCAUAAUACUUACCUGAGGAUCGUCGAUGAGGGUCGAUAACUGCUUCCCGGUGGGACAUCCCUCCGCUCGCGAUGAUCUCCAAUGAUGCAUCCGAGGGCAGCGUGUCUCCCCUCGCUGUGCAAAGCGAGCCCCCAGUACAGGAACUGUCUCAUACACCCAAAUCUGUAACACAUACACUUAUUAAGCAUCAAUGUAAUACACUAAAACUUUAACUUUGAUUAUAUUAAACAUUUACCUGCACUGCUAACGGCAAUCCAUAUGUAUCGUAUUUACGCAUCGACCCCCUGGGCCUCGAGUGCGAUCUGGUGAACACAUUUACGGUGUCUUCGUAGCAUCUUCGGCCCCACGGAUAGUUGUUGAACGCAUCGAUGUCGUCAACAACUUGCAGAUGAAAAAUGUCGAUGGCAGUCUUCUCGUGAUGACACCUCAUCACACUCUCGAGGAUGUAGACCAGCCCAAAUUUCAAUCUAUCUAGCAUAUGGUCGCACCCCCUGAUCGCGACCAUCAAGUCGGGUAGAAGCACCGACCCAUGUCCCUGGAAGUACGUCUCGUACAGCCUACUGCUUCUCUUCAUGGCUGCAUCGUCGCCCGUAAUCUUCAGUCCAGUAAUCAAUGUAAACUCAAACAUCGAAAAACUGACGACCUUGCCCCCGAGGUCGAACUGGAGGGAAUCGCCGUCGACUGGUCUCAGAAGCCGACAUAGAAGUGCAUCAAUGAUCUGUCCUGAAUACUGCACCUCUCGCAACUGGUACAGUGGCCACAAGAAGGACUGUCGUAGAAUAUCUCCGUGCUGAUCAUCGAGCAGCUCCAAUACAGCAGUAAAACUCUCAAAGCUACUGUCCCAAGUAGCUUUCCCCAACAUCCGUCUUAACUCUGCAUCUAAAUGAUACUCCAUCCUGCAAAAAUUCAAAUAUUAUAGUAUUGAACAAGAGAUAACAAAAUAAAGCAUACUCUCACAAAAUCAAGAAAAUCGAACUCUAACUACCAUACAAUCACAAAUAUUACAUUUGAAAAAUAUAUUUACAAAAAACAACAAAUCAAAUUAAAUGUAUGUCAAAAAAAUUAAAGAAUAUAAAUAUUAUUUAAAUAAAUUGAAAAAAAUAUCAAAGAUUUUCAUAAAAAAACAAUAAAAGGAACAAAACAAAUUGUUAAUUUCGAACAAUAUUAUAUAUUCAAUUAUUAAAUUAUAUAAAAAAGGAAAUUAUAAAAAUUAAAUAAUUAAAUAAAAUAAUUAUUAUUUGGAAAAUAUAUUUACAAACAAAAAAUUUCAAAUUAAAUACAUUUUCUUAUAUAAAAGACAAAUAUAAAAUUUAAAUAAAUAAUUACUUUACCUUUUUUUAAAAUUUAGACUAUUCAUAUUAUUUAAAUAAAUUUAAAAAAAUAAAUUAAAGAUAAUUUCAUAAAAAAAAAUAGAAUCAACAUUGUUAAAUUUACAAUAUUUGAAUUAUUAAAUUAUAGAAAAGACAAAUAUAAAAAUUAAAUAAAUAAUUACUUUACCUUUUUUUAAAAUUUAGACUAUAGAUAUUAUUUAAAUAAAUUAAAAAAAAUAAAUUAAAGAUAAUUUCAUAAAAAAAUAGAAUCAACAUUGUUAAAUUUACAAUAUUUGAAUUAUUAAAUUAUAUAAAAAAACAAAUAUAAAAAUUAAAUAAAUUUGAAAUAAAAAAUUAAAGAUAAUUUCAUAAAAAAAUUUUAAAAAAAAAAUUAAAGAUAAUUUCAUAAAGAAAAUAAUCAACAUUGUUAAUUUUACAAUAUUUCAAUUAUUAUAUUAUAUUGACAAUGAUAAAAAAAAUUAAAUAAGUAAAUAAUAUAAUUACUAUUUAAUCAAAUAAAAAAUUUAAUUAAUUACAAAAAUUAUAAAAAAAAAUAAAAUUAACAAACAGUCUGAAAGUAAAAUGGAAAAAUACUGUGAAGUUUUCUUUUUAACUUAAUUUGUUUUUUUUUAAUUCAUUUAAUUGAUCAAAAGCAAUUUUUGCUAUAGUGGGUGGGUCAUUUUUGUGUAUUUCCUCAGUUCUCAUUCACCGCUUGCCCAAAUCCCAAUUUAUAAUCCAAUGGUAAAUGCAAUGGAUUCCCAUUUCACAAUAAUCAAACGCUAUGGCGAACAAAUCGGAAUGCCUCUAGUUUCAGUUAACGUAAAAAUAGUAAUCAGCAUAAACACAAUCAAGAACAAAUGUACCAUGAAUUUUCUGGAUGUCCAUUUUCUGCAUGGGCUGUUGAUUUGAUUGAUUUUCAAUUCAUUUGUCAAAUUGGAGCCAAUAAUUUUCUCCUCAUCUUUUUUAGUUGAGUGGUGGCCACGCUGAAGCAGCGGUGCCAUCUCUCUUCCUGCUGUGUUCUACAGGACUCCGCCGACGAUAUGAAGACUGGAAAUGACUCUCCGCCGCCCACCGCUGCCGAACCACAGCAUGACCUGGAGGCUGGCAUCAUCGACAUUGAUGCUUCUUCCGCCAGUGCGAAAGGCUUGGCAGCCGAUGAAGAAGAAUUCUCCGAUCCUUUCGACAUUGGCAAUACCAAAAAUGCGUCACAUGAAUCGCUCAAGCGUUGGAGGGUAAGUUAAAGAUAUUAAUGUAUUAGAACAUAUCUCAUUCCCAUUUCCACACAAUGAAUUCAAUAAUUUUGUUAUGUUGAAAUUCCAUCCAUAUGUCAGAAGAGAAUUCCAUUAUAAUCAAAUGGAAAAUAUUCUUAUUGUGAUACUUCCUUCUUAUUUAUCUUUGUAUCUAGCUUCCUUCACAUUUGUCUUCCGUUUUUGUUGAUCUUUCGUCAUCAAAUAAAACAAAAAGGUUUUGUGAAGUUAACCGUUGACUCUAUUUUCUAGUUCUACUAUGGUAGAUUAGUUAAGGACUAAUUAUAAUUUGUUUCGUCAUCAAAUUCUUGAUCAUUUACAGCAAGCUGCACUUGUUCUUAAUGCUUCCCGCCGGUUUCGGUACACAUUGGAUUUGAAAAAAGAUGAUGAACAAGAACAACGACGAAGCAUGAUAAGAGCACAUGCUCAAGUCAUCCGGGUAAUACUAUAACACAUUAUUCACUUGGUCUCAAUUUUUCUUCAGACUCGAAUAUUAAUUUUGGAAUUUCUUGUUGUAGGCUGCAUUGCUCUUCAAAUUGGCUGGACAGCGAGCAAUCGGUAUCUGCUCGACUAAUUUUCAUUUAGUUCUUGGAAUAAUAUAGUUUAUUGAGAAGAUUUUAUUUAAAAGUGUGUAGUUUAUCUAUAGAUUUUUGUUUAAUCAGUAUCCUUUUUCUUCAACAACCUUGGCUUAUUUUUUGCUCAUUUAGUAUUGGGUACUGCGGUAUCUCCUCCAACUCCUAAUGGGGAUUAUGGAAUUGGUCACGAAGAACUUGCUUCAAUGAGCAGAGACCACAAUAGUUCUGCACUACAACAAUAUGGAGGGGCAAGUCAAUUCUAAUUGCUCUUUCUUUUUUUCUUUUCUUCUCUCUUUUUAUUUUUUAUUUUUAUUUUUUUGUCAAUUAGUCAUGCCUGUGUACAAAUAUAUGCUUACUAUGCCAUUUUCUUCAGGUUAAAGGGUUAUCGAAGAUGCUAAAAACAAACAUAGAAACUGGAAUUGCUGGUGAUGAUGAAUUACCAGAAAGACAGAGUGCCUUUGGUUCAAAUACAUAUCCUACAAAGAAAGGACGAAGUUUCUUGGUAUGUACUUUGUAGUUUGCUUUGAGGGUGAUUCUCAUAUUAUUACAUUUUUUACAUUGAAUUAAUGUUUUAACAUUUUCUCUCUCUCUCUUUUUUUUUAUUUUUUUUUAUUUUUUAUAAUAACUUCUAUUCAUGCAUGAUUUAAUUUAGAGGUUUCUUUGGGAGGCUUGGCAAGAUUUAACCCUCAUUAUCUUAAUAAUAGCCGCUGCGGCAUCGUUGGCUCUUGGCAUAAAAGCGGAGGUGAGUUUGGGAUGCUGUAGUAUGUUCAAUUUUUAACAAAUGGAUUUUCUUUAUUAAGAUAUAGUUUAAGCAUAUCAUAUAAUUCCUUAUACAAACAUCUUAAGGAAAAUCACAUUGACCUUCCUUAUUCCACACAAGUGCUAUCUUUCUACCAUGCCAUGAUGGCAUAGACAUCAGAAUUACAUGAAUCAUUGUUCCGAGGCCUCUUUCUAUGCAUUCUGAAAAUGCUAUUCUUAGAUCUUAAAGGGGCUGGGUUUUAAUUCCCUGAUAAUCAAUUCCAUGCAAUUUAUAAAGUUCAAGCAACCAAAUAUGAUUUACGUUGAGAGACCUGUAGUGCUUUUUUUAUCUACAUUGUACUCACAUGAUAAGUACUUCCUUCUCCUUGUGACGGGAAGCCGAGCUUUUAUGAUUUUUAGAGUCUGAUAUAUCUGUAGUGUUGUUUACCAGGGACUGGACGAAGGAUGGUAUGAUGGAGGAAGCAUUACCUUUGCUGUACUUCUUGUUAUCUUUGUUACCGGUAAGGGAAUUAACAUCUGUUGUUAUCAUUUUCUCUCUACUUUCCUUUUCUAACCCUCCAUUUUUUGUAACUAUAAAUAUCUAUUUUAACUUUCUUGAUAAAGUAGAGAAAACGAUACAAAUCUUCAAAAGAUAAAUGAAAGGUUUUUUUGAUAAUUUUCUCUGGAUAAUUUGUCCUUGUUUGAAACUUUAUUUUUGAACUCUUAAGAAACUUCUUUGAAGUUGUGUUGCGAUGACGAUCAAAUUUGAGGCAGUCCAGUGCUUCCUGGAGCACAUCACUGAGCAGUUCUUUCAGCUUUCUCCCCUUCCUUUGGGGAGGAGUCAGCUUGGGGUGAUUUUUUAAAUCGAUUUUUUCCUUUCAAGACAAAAUGGGAACACCAACAAGAUGGUCAAAAGGCUGUUUCUAUUAGGCUAUAUGUUCCUGUUUCUUAACUUUGGAAGAGGGGAGAAGUAUAGAGGAAAAAAUAGCACAUGCCAAGAAAAAUGUUAGGAGCGUUCUAGAGUGAUAACAUAUGGCAAUAUUAUCAAGGAAAUGUGAUGGAGUAGUCUCGAACGUGAUGUGUAGUGGCACUUAAGUUUGCAUUAAGGUUCAGUCCCCAUCUUUUGCUUUAUGAGCCUAAAAGUGACACGACCCGUCUCGAAUCAUCUUAAUAGACCGGACACGUGUCGUACGUCGAUGGUAGAUACCAAUUAAAUGUUGGACCCACCACCAAGGCAAUUUUAACUUGUUUGACUGUGACGAAAUUUUAAAAGAAUUUUGACAGAAUUUCCCUUGAAAUAUGAACUAAAACCGCUUGAACAAUAACCAAUUUCCUCAAAUCAAUACAUAUAAUAUAAAUCAUGGUACGUCAGUCCCUAAAAAUACAAACUAUUUAAAUAAAAUCCUAGCAAAUCAAUAUUUACUUGCUUUACAACCAACAAUCUUAAAAUGUAAUAAUACCAAAUAUCUAAUGAGCCCGUAAUUAAUUUUUUUCUGAUUUAAACUACAUGUAUCCCAAAAGAACGCAUACUAUAUAAACUAAUAGUGGAUGUCAUACAACCUCCGACGCGUGGCUCAAUUUGGUGGUUCGACAAGCUCCAAGCUGCUCAUUUCGGCUGCUAUCUGUCUAAUAAAGAAAAAUGUAAAAAAAUAUAUGAGCUUAAAGCUCAGUGAGUGGAUAAUUUUCAAAUAAGUAAACUUUUCCCAUUUAUGCAUAUUUUCUGAAAAUUCUUGCACGAUUAAAACUUCUAGAAAUUCUGAAAUCUGGUAACACUUUUAAAAUCAAACAUGAAUAUAUCAUAAAUUUAUUUGUUCUUCAUUCUAGAUAAGUAACUGUAAAAUAUAGUGAAUAUAAAUGAUAUGACAUCUGUGAAAAUCUGUGAAAUAUAACUGCUGCUCAAUACUAUAAGCUGAAAGCUUUAAUCUGAGAACUGAAUAGACUAAAUUCUAUAAUCUGAAAUCUGAUAAGCUAUAGAAACAUUGAAAAAUCACACCAAAGAGGUACCCAAUCAAUAGCCUUACUCAUGUACAAAGUAAUUUCGAUGUACAAGGCAGAGCUAUUCAAAUCUGAUAUUCUGAUAAUGUGGUCAUAUGUACGCAGAGCUGCCCCAAAGGCUAAUCACCCUAGUACACGGCCCAAAGUCUAUGUGUGUACGAGAGUGAAUCCCAAAAACCUCUGAUAAUCUGGUCAUACACUAUGGAACCACAUUCACAAUAGUGCAGAGUGGAUAAAAUCACCAUAACUAGUCAUACACUGUGGAAACACGUUCAUACUAGUGCAGACUGGGUAAAAUCACCUAAGUACUUUCUGGUGGUUUUAAAAAUAACUUUAACUAUACUGAAACAGUUAUAUUCAAAUAACAUGCUAAUCAAAUGAUUUAAUUGAAUUAAAUUUAACUUUAAAAAUAUCUAAUUAUAAAUCCACUUUAUUCUAAAAAUCAUGCUUUGAAAAUCAAUUGUAUGAAAUAAUAAAAUUUUUAAUAUAACAUAAAUUUAAUAAAUAAUCAAUUUCUGAAAAAUAAGUUUUAUAUUCACUCACUCAAUAUGUGCUACAGACUAGGCCAGUCGGUAAGCUUUUCCAAUUUCUUCGUCACCACCUGAAAUACGUUACAAAAUAAACAAUUUAACAACUAUCAUACUAUAUAGCUCUUAAUAUUUAAUAACUGAAUUCCAAAACUUGAUUCCUCAAUACUUGAACGAUUUUUCCAAAUUUUCCUUUAAUAAAUGGAGCUAAUUCUACUUUCUAAUACCUUCACAAAUAUAUACUACAUCCAAAUUUACCUUCAUACCACUCAUAAAAUUAAUUAUACCUUCCCAUCUAAUGAAAACUAGUAACCAUAAUUCCACAUAUUUUAAUUUUCAUCUCGUUUCUCAAAUUCAUGGUUUCAUGUGAGUUUUCCAUCAAUAUGAUCAUUCCCACUAACAAUACAUAAUCAAGAAUCCCAAAUAAAAAUCUAGGGUUUGCCAAUAAUGGUAUUACUUGCCUUGAUGAAUUUGGAGAUUAAAUAAUCAACAAACUUGAGCUCCAAUUUGUAACCUUGUCCUCUUAAAUCUGAAAUUUAUACCACAAGUUAAAACCUAGAAAUUUAAUAUAAAAUCAUUGCUUUACCUCUUGAAGAAAAUAUAGAGAAAGAAAAAAUGGAAAUAGACCUUGAACUACCUCUUUCCUUUCUUCUCUUCUUCUUUUUCUCCUUUUUCUUCCCUUUUUUCUUUCCCUUUUUCUUUCUGCCGUUUUCUUCUUCUUCUCUGUCGGUAAUUUUUCUCGCUUCUUGUGUGUGUGUGUGUGAUUUUAGAGAAAAAAGAAAUGGGUCAAAGGCAUUUAAAUCCCACUAACUCCAAUUUGCAAGAAAAGUCCCUCUUCUCUAAUAUGAGCUAACAUUGAAAUUCUAAACUUUCCAAAAAUAUAUAAGUAAAUUUUCAACUUCAAAUUGUAUCAAAUUUUACCCUCAUAUAUUGCCAAUUGUAAAAUAAACCCCAAUAAAAGAUUUUAGUCAAUUCAAGUCCCAAUAAAAUCAUUUAUUUCAUUUAAGUUCUUAAUUAACUUUGACCUUGACUAGUCAAUAUUUGAAUUUUUUACUAUGAAAUUUGAAUUGUAACAAAAAGAGUGUUAAUUGUAAGUUAGAACUUUGAAGAAGUACCUUGGAAUUUAAAUGUUUUUAUGUUAAAGUAAAACCGAGACACAGUAGAUGCAAUAUCAAUUUAUUAAUGCUAAAAGUAAUAAUAAUAAUGGUGUCAUUACAAAGAAUCAUGAUGUCCCCAAGAGUUAUCGUUUCAAGUAUUUAUGACAAAUUUUAAUAAUGUGGGAAAAAUAUCGGAGGAUGAAACACAUAGGAUGAGAACAAGUUGGAUGAGAAGGACUUGAGUCAGACGAAGAUUUCUAUAAGUUUAAGAGCCAAUUCUGUAUAACAGUUAAUAAACCUGCUAGGUUUUAUUGCACUGAGCGUUGAGCUGUUAAACGAAAAGAUGUUCAUGAACGAAAUGUAGUGAAAAUGAGGAUUUUAAGAUGGAUAUAAAAUCGUACUAGAAUGGAUAAGAUGGAAAAAUGAGAAUGUAUGUCAAGAAGUAGAGGUGAUAUCAAUUGAGCAUACACUAAGGGAAAGGCAACUUAGGUGGCCAGGACGUGUUGCAUGAAUCCAUUGAACCUCCCAUUUAUAAAAUUAUAAAAAUGACACCAUGCCAAUAUAACUGGUUAAAAGAGAUGGUAGAUCAAAACUAACAUGACUUGUAAUGGGUGCUAAUGAACUACUUGCUUUGGAUCUUUUAGUAGAUAUAGCAACGAACCAUUUAGAGUGGCAAGAAGGAUUCAUACUACCAAAUUUUAGGGGAAUAAUAAUUUGUUGUUUGUAAUUUGCAUAAACGUUUUGGCCGAGUGCCUAACAUAUCCCUAUAUUCCUUAUUUGUAAUUUAUUAUGAAAUUGGGCAGACUAUGGUUUUUGGGGCUUAAUUAGGUAUCUAUUCAAUUGUUAGGUAACUGGUGUGGGAAUUAAUACUGAAUGGGGAUUGUUAAUGGCUAGUAUUUCAGAAGAUACAGGGGAAGAAACACCUUUGCAGGUAAUUAUCAAGAAAUGAUGAUUCUUAUCAUUAGUAGUUACUUAAAAAUGAAUCAUAACUAUUUGUGGCUUCGGAUGACAUAAUGUAGGUACGCCUGAAUGGGGUUGCCACUUUCAUUGGCAUAGUUGGACUGACCGUGGCUCUUUCUGUGCUCAUCGUUCUCUUGACCAGGUAAGUUCAACAAUUUUGGUUUUGGCUUCUUACUCGGUUCACAUUCUUAGUCACCAUGAGAUUAAAUUUUCUUAGGUUUUUCACUGGGAAUUCAAAAAAUGCUGAUGGAUCUGUUCAGUUUGUUCGUGGGAAGACUAACAUUGGUCAAACUAUUGAUGGAGUCAUAAAAAUUAUUACUGCUGCAGUGAGUUGUUGCAUUCUGUAUUAGAAAUCAUAAAUAAUGUCUUUUCUGCUUACUGACAGCAGUUUUGUAUAGGUCACAAUUGUUGUUGUCGCAGUCCCAGAAGGCCUUCCUCUGGCUGUAACCUUGACGUAAGUAUCAUAAAAUGUGCUUGUUGUCGGUCACCUAUUGCCUUCUUGUUCGACACUUCAAUGUUCAUUGAUUGACAUUGUCUUUAAAAUAACAACAGCCUAGCGUACUCUAUGAAGAAAAUGAUGGCUGACAAGGCUUUGGUACGUACAUAAUUUGUUGAAUACGUCAAAUUUCUAUCUGUAUGUUACAAAACUAUAUCCGUACACGCAGUUUCCACAUAUUGUGCUUUUCUCAGUGAUACUGUUAACCGCUACUGGUCUUCAGGUGCGUAGGCUUUCAGCUUGUGAAACAAUGGGAUCCGCAACAACCAUUUGUAGCGAUAAGACUGGAACUUUAACCCUGAAUCAGGUCAUCGUUCAGUACUUUUAGUCUCUUUAGUCUGUUAAGAAUGAAAAAUAAAGAUGGAUGUUGGUCACGGUGAACGGCGAUAGACGUUUAUUCCUGUAAUUAUUUUAUUUUUCAUUCUUACUUAAGAGUAACUAAUCUCGGAAAACUACACCUUGAUACAGAUGACAGUAGUUGAGGCCUAUAUUGGGAGUAAGCAAGUUGAUCCUCCUGAAGAUGGCUCACAAUUGAAUGCAGCAAUUUCCUCUCUUCUAGAUGAGGGAAUAGCUCAGAAUACUGCAGGCAGUGUAUUUCCAUCUAAGGUACUCUUUUUUCUCCCCUGAGCAUGCCUUCUAGUGUUCGCCUCUGGUUGCAAGGGGACAAAGUGAAUCCAAUACGAGUUGUCAAACAGUCAAAGCAUCUUUUACACCAUUGGAAUUUUGUGAAGGGGAAUGAUACUACUAGUGGUCAUGGUUAGUAGAGUGUGAGAACACUUGAUGAUCUAUCCCUUAGACAUGUAAUAGAUACUUAGUGUCGGAUGUUCAUUUCCACUUCACAUUUGAGUGCAAACAUUACCAACUCUUGGUCAUGAUCUCAGAGUUGUACUUUCAGCAUGAUUCAUUUUGAUUGUUUAGCAUCAUGUUCCUUUUAGAGCUGCUGAUGGCUUCUUGCCUGUUUCCUCCUUUUGACUUCAAUAUAAAAUUUAUCCGUUAUUCAUAUUGCAUGUUCAUUGUGUCUUUAUGUUUGUUUAUAGGAUGGUGCAGGAAUAGAUGUUUCUGGAUCUCCCACUGAAAAAGCUAUUCUUCAUUGGGGUGUCAAGGUAAUUCUGGUUCUAUAUACCAGGAACUAUGGUUUCAAGUUUCAUUAUUAUUGAAAUUGAUUAUCUGUAUGAUUUUAACUUUGUUAUGCAGCUGGGGAUGAAUUUUGAUGCUGUUAGAUCCGAAUCUAUUAUUCUCCAUGUUUCUCCUUUUAAUUCCACUAAGAAACGAGCUGGUGUUGCAUUACGAGGAUGGGUAACUGAUUUGUUCUACUUUCCUCCUUGUCAUUUUAACAAAGAUUUUUUAUAAGUGUGAUUAUCUCUGAAUAUUUGUAUAGAUCUUUAGUCUGAUUAAUGGGUGUUAAAUAAUUUUGUCAAGAAUCAAUUUGAUGUCACAAAAUAAUCUAUUGAGCCUUGUUUCUUGAUCUUUCAAUAGGAACUCAUGGUUCAAAGAACUUAAAUUUUUGUACUAUGUAAGAUGUCACUUAACAAAGCAUUACAUGGACUGUAUUAUUGCAUCCCUCUAGUUAGUGUAAAAAUCGAUUUUGAGUAUAUCUUUAUUAUUUUAUGUCAGACUGAUUCUCAAGUUCAUCUACACUGGAAGGGAGCAGCCGAAGUAAUUUUAGCCUCAUGUUCACAGUUUAUGGAUGCAGAUGGUAGCUUGCAGUCUAUUGAUGAGGAUAACAAGGUUAGCACAAGAUGCAAACUUUUAGUAUAAGGAAACUCGGAUCUUUACUUAAAAAAUAAAAAAAAUAAAAAAUUGCAAGACAAGGAAAUAAGAGGUGCGGAUAAAAUAGUUCUCCCAAACUUUGGAUGAUACUCACACUUGGUAUUACAGGUUUUUUUCAAAGAUGCUAUUGAAACUAUGGCUGCAAAAAGCUUAAGGUGUGUUGCCAUUGCUUACAGAACAUAUGAAACAGACAAGGUUCCGACCGAUGAUGAACAGCUAGCACAAUGGACUUUACCGGAAGAUGAUCUUGUUUUGCUUGCAAUUGUUGGUAUAAAGGUGGGAACUUUGAAGGGUACUAUGAAUUCUUAUUUGCAAGGCAUCAUGUAACUUUUAUGUGUCCAUUUGUAAAUGUUGUUGCAAUGCACAAUUUAUUUUAAGGUUAAUCAGAAAAAAACUUAGACAUCAUUUCUAUUCGUUGCAAAUUCAUUUUCUUUUAUUAUAUAUUCUUUUUUGUUUUAACAAAUAUCACUUCACAGGAUCCUUGCCGUCCAGGUGUCAAAGAUGCAGUGAAACUAUGUUCGGAUGCUGGCGUUAAGGUAUUCUUUGCUAAUAUCAAAAUUAUAUCCAUACAUGGACACUUUGUAAGUGGUAGCUGCCAUAAGAUCCCAACCUUUUUUAACAAACAAGAACAACUGUUAACACAGCCAGUUGAUUUGCAUAUGCAGCCCAUCACAUUUGGCUUUUGUUGCACUUUAAAGUCAAUUUCUUAAAUGUAAUUUUUUCAAUUUUUUAAGUUUGUCCAAACGUACUCCAAAAUCUGGUUUCAAUGCACGUCCUUUGAAGAAGUAUCUAGAAAAUUAUGAGAUGCAGCUAUUUUAAUACUAAGUACAUUAUGUAAAGGGUAUGGGUGUAGAAGUACAAGAACCAGAAAUAUACCAGCCUUCCUAUUGUGAAUGUUCAUUAGAUUGAUGAUAGGAUAUUUUGCAUCAUUUUCUCGAUUAAAGAAAAAGAAAUAAGAUGAAAUCAUGUCAACUUACAUCUGCCAACCAUCAGGUGCGCAUGGUAACUGGAGAUAAUAUUCAAACAGCCAAAGCAAUUGCUGUGGAAUGUGGAAUACUUUUUUCAGAUGCAGAUAAUGUUGAGUACAGUAUUAUAGAAGGGAAGACAUUUCGUGAGUUGCCUGACAAAGAGAGAGAGCAUGUUGCAAAAAGGAUAUCGGUAUGAGAUAUAUGUGAAUACCUUUUAUUGCUUCUCUUUUUGCUGACGAAAUAAUGAGUAAUGAGUAUGCUUUGAUUAGUACAGGUUAUGGGAAGGUCGUCUCCUAGUGAUAAACUUUUGCUUGUGCAAACAUUGCGUAAACUAGGGGAAGUUGUUGCUGUAACUGGAGAUGGAACCAAUGAUGCUCCCGCAUUGCACGAGGUUUGAUAUCCUUACCAUAUUUAUCAUAUAUAUAUAUAUAUAUAUAUAGACACACAUUUCUUGAUGACCCAUAUUAGUUGUAUCGGGCACUAGUACAAUGUUGACAACCGCAUCUAAAAAGACCAAAAUUCUAUCCCUGGUAAAUUUCAGUUUCCUGCAUCUAUAAGAAAGAAGAAUAUCCCGUGUAGAUAUUUCGAUGUCUUAAUAUUAAGGUUAAAGAACAAAAUGACCCUGGACACAAAUAUUUUACUUGUUCAGCUAUUUUAUACCAUGAUAUACGGAUUAUUUUGACCAUUUCAUAAGGUUAUUGUACAAUUCAAUUUGCCCAAAUGCUAGUCCUUUUUUUUUUUUUUUUUUUUUUCCCUAUACUAGUGCAAAUGUUUUUUUCCCACUAAUCUACUCGUAGUGGUUUGCUGCAUGCUCCAUUGUUUCACCUCAAAAAUAUGUCGAGCAUUGAGUGGAACCAAUUCGUUUCAUCUAAUACUAGAGUCACGACUCAGCAAUAUAUACCUUUGAUGUUUAUGGUAAUGCCAUGUAUAACUGUAAUUUCAUACAAUUUUUGAUUCUAUAUAUGCAGGCGGAUAUUGGUCUUGCGAUGGGAAUACAAGGAACUGAAGUUGCUAAAGAAAGCUCAGACAUAAUUAUUUUAGAUGACAAUUUUUCUUCUGUAGUAAAGGUUAGUGUUAAGGGAUUUAUUUCAUUUUCUAGGCAAAAUUUCAUUGGCUUCUUUAAGAGUUAGAAUAGGUCUCUCUUUUUACUAAUUUUACGGGAACAUAAAUUUACUAAACAAGAAACACUGUCUAGGGGCUUUUUGCACAUAUUGAUAAACACUUGUAUAAUAAUUCAGCUCUUGUUGCCAAGCUAUAUAUGUGAUUUCUUCUUUAGUUUGAAGCAGUUCCAUUUACUUCGCAUAGGUUGUCCGCUGGGGGCGUUCUGUAUAUGCAAAUAUUCAGAAAUUUAUCCAGUUUCAGCUCACUGUUAAUGUUGCAGCUCUAGUAAUAAAUGUAGUUGCAGCAGUUUCUUCUGGCGAUGUUCCUUUAAAUACCGUGCAGGUAUCUUUUUACUAUCCUUAAUAAUAUUGUUUGCAGUUUUUAAAAAUCAUAAUCAGGUGAAAAUAUACAUAAAAUUCCAAAAGACAAGUCUGGCACUAUUUAUCAAAAAAAAGUUUUGGCACUGAAAUGCUUGUAAUGGAAUGGUGAUUUGUAAAUAGAUUCACGAGUUUUAGAUUUCUAGAAUGCACAAUCAAAGAUGGCACUUUUCCUAAUAUAUUUAAGGUGUAUUUAUGUUGGGAUUUUAGAGUUGGAAUGUUGAUGCUUUUCUCCACUGACUUUCCUUAUGGUACAGCUUCUUUGGGUUAAUCUCAUCAUGGAUACUCUGGGAGCUCUGGCAUUGGCUACCGAACCACCAACUGACCAUCUUAUGCAUAGACCUCCAGUUGGUCGAAGGUUAGAACUCCUCACAUUCUCUUUUGAUGUUGUCAUAGUAUGAGAUGCAUCAUACGACUAAUACACGCAUCCAAAGUUUUCAUAACGUGAUCACCUGGGAGUUGUCAACUAGAAGUCUACAUAUAAAAUGUUGUUGCAUUUGAAAUGACCAAAAGGCCAGUAACUUCAAAGAAAAGAAAGAAAAGGUACGUCUGUAAGGGGGGGAGGGGGGGGGGAACAAAGUGAAUGCAAACUUACUUUUCGUCUAAGUUAAUAUGUACAAAAACCCUGACAAGCACGAUCUAUGCUCUCCUUUACGAGUUCCAUCAAUAACUGAAGCAAAACAAACUCAUUUAUGAUACAUAAUUUUUGUCCCAUCCAUUUUGUUAUAAUAAGUUACUACUUGCUAAAGGCUAAGCAACAUAUUUUAAAGCUAAAUUUACAUUUCAAACUUCCAAGUUCGAAGUGAUCUGCACGACCUUAAUCCAAAUGGCCUUCCAACUCACAUGUAUAUAUUCGAUUGUCUAAGUGUUGACCAUAAGGUAUGCUUAUAGUUGGGAAUCAUAGGUUUUAUUUCACGUGUGUAAUGUUCAACACUUCAAUCAAUUUUAAGGCUUUUUCAUUGGUAUAUGCAUUCAAUUUUAAGGCAUUUGUUAGUUUUUUGUACCAUUUGAAAUGAGAACUAUAUUUACUUUUUUGUGAUGUUUUGACGAUAUUGACUACUCCAGCUUCAAAUACAAACCUUGAUUUUUUUAAUCAAAUAGAAGCAUUCUACUCAUAACUCUCUGUCCUGCUAACUAUAUUUUCAGUUUCAAAAUAUGUUAGUCUAUAAAACUGGAGUGUUAGUCUAUUAAACUGGAGUAUGCUCUUUCAAAUGGGAAUUGCCAUAAAGAACUGCACCCUAAGUAAAAUUUCUUCCCAUGUUAAAAGCUUAUGUAAGAAUGCAUGACCCUUUUUCAUUUAAUUGUUUUCAAAUGCUUCAGGGAGCCUCUUGUAACAAAUAUCAUGUGGAGGAACUUGAUUAUACAGGUCUGUUAGGUUAUUAUUUGUUGAAAUUUUGGCUGUUGAUUUUCGUACUCACAAGGAAUUUGGUUAAUAUUACUAUGAUAUCUUCUAUGCCGCAGGCAAUAUAUCAAGUUACAGUCCUCCUUAUCUUUAACUUCUGUGGUAAGACCGUUCUCAACUUAAAGAAUGAGCCGUCGGAGCAUGCUAACAUGGUGAAGAAUACCGUUAUAUUUAACGGAUUUGUUCUAUGUCAAGUAAGUACAUUCUAAUUGCAAAUGAAAAGAAUAAAGGGUGAUAGAGCAUGUCUGACUAAGCUUAGAAAAAGUAAAUCUACUUUUAAGUAAUUUUUUUUAUCUUCAAUCACUUCUAGAUCACUGAUUUUUUUCUUAAUUUAAGUGAAAAACAUUACUUUCUUCUGUAAAGUAAGCCUUAUCUCACAGUUGAAAUAAGUAACUUAUUUCCAAUUUUGACCUAUAAAAAACUAUUUAUUUUCAACUAGUUUAUUUACUAGUAAACUUUUAAGCUUAGUGAAACAUGAUAUGUUGUAUUAUAUUUACGAGAGGAACAUGAAAAUAGCACCCCAAAAUUCCAUGGGACACCAGAUUUACCACCACGAUUCUUUUCACAUGGCAAUUUUAGAUAUUCAAUGAGUUCAAUGCUCGGAAACCGGAGGAGAUGAAUGUCUUUGAGGGGGUGACCAAAAACCACUUCUUCACAGGAAUUGUGGGAACUACGUUUAUACUUCAGGUAAGAUGUCAUAACAUUAUAAUUUCACGUCUUUGAAUUUUUAUUCCAAUAGUUCACCAUUAACAAGAUCCUGGUCCGUAAUAGAUAAUUAUCAUCGAGUUCCUUGGAAAGUUCGCCACAACAGUUAAGCUGAGUUGGAAUCUUUGGCUAGUUUGUCUUGCUAUUGGCAUUUUCAGGUUUGGAGAUUUUCUUUAAUCAUAGUAAUUAUAGUUUGAAAAUCUUUAUUCAUUUAAGAAUAUUGGGAUGAUUGUGUAAUGAACCAAGGUAGCAUAUCUAACUAGGAAGCUUUCAUGGGUGUUUUUUAAAAGGUUAAUGGCUAUGCAAUGUUUUUCAACUCUUUAUGACUUCUUGUGCUGAAAUCUCCUGCAUGUUCUUUUACAAGAUGCAGUGAUUAGUUAUUGAACUUCUUGAAGUUUUCCAGGUAAAACCAAAUUUACUCGAGAUUUUUACGAGUAGUAAUACUCUAAUAUGUAGAUUGCAUUCAUAGAAAUUUAGGGCUCAAACGCAUGAACCAUGAACUCCAUACAUCUUGAACGGAAAAGAAUCAAGAGGAAAAAAAGGAGAAUUGGAUUUGAUGAAACUAUUUGGGGGCUUUCUUGAAAAUCUGAUAAAAUUACUAAUUCAUCACCAGAUAUAUAUUUAGUCGACACUUAAUUUCCAGUUAUUUUUGGAGGUCUUUCAUUUUCUCCUGUUUUACUCCAGAAUUAAUCUCAUGUUUUGCUCCAUGUUAUGACAAUUAUCUUUGGAUAAGUGGUAAUUUUCUCUUGUUUCAUGCAGCUGGCCCCUUGCUGUUGUUGGAAAAUUGAUUCCAGUUCCAGAGACACCUCUAGCCAUGGUGUUCGUUAAGCCAUACCAGCGAUGUGUCGCAUCUCGUUGUAAUUCUAAUUAAUACAUAUCAUCCAAUGUUUCCAUCCAUUAAGAAGCUUCACCAAUUUCUUGAAGAUCAUAGUCUUCUACGGGAGAAGUAAUGUCACUAGCCAUCUGGCUCUUUGAAUAUACUAAAUGCAAAGUCAAACGACUCAUUUAAUCGAACAUAUAUAUAAUAGUCACUUAAAUUGGUGCUAAAUAGCAUUAUUCGUGAGAAAUACAGGAUAUCUAAUUCAAAUAUAGACCAUUUCCCCCUUCCUCUAAGAGGAAAAGGGCCAAAUUUUAACUACUGAAAGCAGAUGCUAGAAAAAGAAGGGAGGAUAAUGCAGGGACCCCUAUUUUAUAGAGUUUCCAAUGACUCAUUAGAUGUCCAUUCAAUUGUUUUUUCCUUUUUUAGUAAACAUGAAAAUGCAGUGAUGCAAUGACUUUUCUUAAAAAAAGCUACAGCUCACAAACAGCUGCUAAUCAAAUCUAUAUUACUUAGGAUUAAGCCCAAGAAUCCAUCCCAACACUAUUCAUUCUGGGGCUAACCCUCCAUACAAUAGGCACAGCCCCAUAUUCAGUGAUGCUCCAUAUCGUUCUCUCCUCUUUCUUGAAUGGAACACGGGACCUCUAGCUCUACUAACUAAUCCAAGAGAUGCAAUCACUUCUUCCAAAGCUAUAAUCAAGCCACAUAUCGUGCAGAAUUAAGACCGAAAAAUACACUCCAAGCACUAUUCGAUUGGGGGACCUUCCAAUGCAACCACUCUAGCUCGACCAACUCACUCAGGAUGAUGUAAUCACUUUUUAAACAGCUAUAAUCGAGCAUUUUAUCAUCCAGAAUUAAGCACUAUUCUACUGGGGGCUAACUCCUUAUGCCAUAGGCCCACCUACAUACGGUGAUGCUCUGCAUCAGGAAGGGUGCAGAAGAAUAAGAACAAGAGAAAAUAAUAUUCAAUAAACAUGGCAAGUCAUCAUUUAUUUCCCAAAAGGUGUUUUUAACUAUCAGCUUCUUUUUUCAAGAAUAUUAUUCAUAGCAGAGAAAAUGACAGCUUUGGAUGGCAAAACUACAAAAAUUGGAUGCAAAAUUUGUUACAAAGGAAUAGAGAGUAAAAUGAUUUUACAACACAAUCAACAAAUAUUUGCUAUUACAUCUUCCAAAGUCUGUAAUUGUAAGACAACCACAUAGGCAGAAUCCUCGAAGAGAGGUCUUAUAUUGAUCUUAAAUAAAAACACAAUACAAUUCUAAAACCAACCUGUUUCACUAAUAAAUUAACCCUGAACAAUUUGAUCCAGGAGAAAUGACCCCAUUUUUGAAAGUGCUGUCUGUGGGUGUAUCAAUUCAGUUCCAGGAGAACUAGCAGAAACACGAAUAGGCAAAAUGAUUCUUUUUUGAGACGUAAUGAGUUAUGAAAUCUCCAGAAGAUGCGGAUGAACCAGGAAUGCUUGCUGGAACAAGUAUCUGAGUCUUGCCUGUAGAAAUUCUUUUACCAGCAACAUUGGCAUAAAACAGGCCAGAAAUGGCUGGUACAAAAACAUCGCUCUCAGAACAAAUGUAGUAGUCGAUAACUUUCUCAUAUUCAGAAGUUUCUGAGGCAAGGAAUUUGUCUUUUUUAUCCAUGGGCAUUAUACUUUCCUGCAAGGGUGCAAAGGUAAACAUAAUACUCAACUCUUGGUGUUCGAAAAGCUAAUUUAGAUUUCAUUGAUGAAAUUUGCUGGAAAGAUAUUUCUGUUUAGGGAUGUCUCACGUUAAAUAAACAUGAAAUAAAUAACAAACUUAUAAGGGUUUGACCUAUUCCUCUUAACAAGUUCGAACUUUUAGUUGAACCUUACAAGUCUUGAUAUGAUAUCAGGCCAUCGAGUUCAAACGAGUAAUUAUAUCUGACUAUGCCUAACGAUCAUAGGGCUUCCGAGAUUGGUGUUCUCAAAUGUGAUAUAAAAAAAUAACAUACAAGGGUUUGAACUACUCCUCUUAACAAGGUUGACAUUUUCAACCCCAUAUUUCAUCAACUUUUAUCAAAAUAUACUAAUAAAUUAAUUUUAAUCCUCACCAAACAGAGGUUUAAUAAUUUGAAGGUGAGAUAUCGAAUGACAUUCACCUUUGUAUAAGUUUUUGGGAAGAAGUCCUUUAGACUGUCGAGGCUGCUGUCCCAUUUUGAUUCAGUCACGUAUACUGUUGUGUCCUUGUCAUAGCCAAUCUUUCUCAAAAAUUGUGCGAUGUCUUGAGGACCAUAACAGCUUUUUGAUCCACUAUUUUUAUGGCAGCCCUUUUUCUCCAAGAUAUCAAGCCUAAGGUCAACUGCCACGAACUGUCCAUUUGACUUCCGACUUAAUGUCCUUAGACGAUUAACCAACGAGUCAACAACUUCACGAACUUCUGUCUGUGGCUCGAGGGCUCCAAACAUUGCCAAACAUCCAAUAGAGUCAGUCUUACUUUUUUCCUUUUUCUUUUUCAUGUUUACUGAAGGGAAGUAAGUUGCUAGCCUAAUGUUUCCCUUGCUUCUGAAGACUGGUUCAAUAUUUUCUGCAAUGUACUCUUCAGUAACCCGAUUGGGGACCUUCACAACUGCAAGAUUGCGUGCUGAUAAUUUAGCAGGCUGAGAUUUAGCGACUUGCACUACACCGUCAAGGCUUGUUAUGAACUUUUCUACAUCAUAAACAUCUUCAAAGUUCCUGAAAGUAACAGAAAAACUACAUCAUUAAUAUGAUUUCUGGCUAGUGAUUAUCCCCUGAUAUCAAUAACCCCGUGCUUGUUUGGUAGUGUUUUUAAAUGCUUAUAAGAAGUGGGUCGUACGGAAUGAGUGGAUUAUUAAAUGGAUAGUAGAUGUGGAGUUUAUACUUGAUUCUCAUUGCUGAAAAAUUACCCAAAAGGGACUUUGCGAGAAUGAAGGCUAUGUGUCUAUUUUACUAUUUCCUCUCCUUUUGUCCGAAAGAAAAUGCAUAAUACAUCAUCACAAAAAUCCAUCAUAUCUUCCAUGCACUAUAACAAGAGCAAUAGCUGCAUCACUUAAAAAAAAAAAAAAAAAAAAAAAAAAAAAAAAAAAAAAAAAAAAAAAGAACCCCCCAAAAAAAAAAAAAAAAAAAAAAAAAAAAAAAAAUCAAAAAAAUCUCCAUAAACCAACAAAAAGCUUUCCUUAUAACUCUGUUACCAUAGAUAACCAGCAAAGACAACCAAAAAAUGCAAGUGAAAUGAAAAAUGAAACAUCAUGAUAUUCCAAGAAAUAUUAAAGAACUCUCUAUUAAGUAUGGCCUUCAUCUGAAUGGUUAACUCUCCUGUUCUAAGAACUUUAACUCCGAAGCAUAUACAGUGAAACAAUUGGACGUUAUUAGAGCAUGCCAAUCUCCAUCAUGCAGACUUGCACGUCCAAGUCUUGCCAUAGCCAGACCUGCCCUACACUCUACUAUGAGUAAGGACUAAUUCGUGCCUUCACAGACGACUCUUUGGUCUUUAGAAUCGCUUUGGAAGCCUUUAAGUGAAAGGGGAUCAAGUUAGGGGUAGGAUAAGAGUAUCUUUAUUCACUGGGGAAAAUUAAUCCAGCAAAACAAAGCACUCGCUUUCUCGAAAGGUAAGUUUUUUAAGUUGAAUAAAAAAAAAAGGCAACUUUUUACUUCUUUUCGUGCUCAGUCAAGCAUGCUCUUAGUGAGACAUUUUAUCAGACGGAGUGCAUGCACAAUUACAUGAUGGAAUGCCCACCAGUUUAAAUUAAAUUGGCAGAGAGAGCGUCGAAAAGUCUCCAAUACCAUGAUUACCAGCUGAAGAGAAUUAAUUCUUUAGAGAAAUCUAAAAUGGAUGCAUGAACUCAGAUAGAAUCACAAGCAUAUUCAGCGUGAAAGUACCCAAAUUUAAUGCAAAUACCAGUGGAAAACCCGCCUGAAAUGGCGGACAGUGAUCGUCGAUGGUUGAAGGCGAUCCUGGAGGCACUCAUUGGUGGUGACCUCUCUCUCUCUCGCUACAUUGAAUUGGCAGUCGCCGCCUUCUGGACGAAGAAGAAGGGCGCGGCAGGGAAGAAGGAGAAAUUUUCAGUUUCGGUCCCUAAACUUUAUCACUUGAGUACUUCGGUCAAGAAUCAUUUUUUUCUUUUUAAACCUUGAAACAUUUUAAUUUCAAUGCGAGUCGGUCCUUACUGGUCUGGAUGGAAAUAAGUGUGCACAAUAUUUUUGUACAUCGGUCAUCACUUUUAAGAUUAGGCCGAUGAAAGUUGCAGGUCAAAGCAGAUUGGGAUUUUUUUAAGUUAAUUGUUCCAAUGGUCACUAAAUUUGGAUCCAUAUCUUUAAUUGAUCACUGAAAUUUAAAAUAUCCAAUUUUGAUCACUGAAUUUAAAUCGAUGUCUUCGAUUGCUUAUUGAACUUAGGUCCAUAUCUUUGAUUGCUCACUGAAAUUUUAAAUAUCAAAUUUUGAUUUCUUCAGAUUCAGUUCUCACUCCAAUUUGGGUCUGUAUGUAUGUAAUUCUAGCAGUGAAAUCACUUCUCCAAUACUCACACUCUCUCUCUCUCACUGUAACAAUAAUAAUAAUGGUAAGAAACAAAUGGAAAAUCAAAUCAUACCCACAGAUUGACACUAUACACACAGAAAGAGAGGGAGUGAAGAACAGUUUUUUAGUGAGAGAAAGUAGAGAUCCCAAUCCCCAGCUACAAGGAUUGGCGCUUAUUGUUCAAGCAUCUUUUUCUUCCUUGUUAGUUUUAUCAACCAAUUAUAAUAUGCAGAUUAAUCAUAUAAUUAUUUUAUUUUAUAUGCACACACACAGAGAUACAUAACAAAUACGUAUAUAUCGUAUAGCUAAUAGCUUCUCUCAUGUGCAAAUAGUAGACAGAACCGGUGGUUACACUGUCAAUGUAGAGCGAGAAAUGGUUGUCUAUACGUACAUGUAUAUGUAUGUAUAGGUAAAUACGUACAUAUAUAACGCUGACUAGCACCGACAAUUUCCCGAAAAUGACGGCGACCCUAAAUUUCAGCACGUCUUUCAAUUUUUUUUUUAAUAGGAUAUUUUUAAGGAUAUAAAAUGUUCAAAUUUAGCCCCUAAUUGAUUAUUUGGUUCCCACUGUUUAAGUUCUUUCUAUUUGGGCCUGAUUUUUUCACCCAAAAAAUUGAUUUUUUGACCGUUAUUUUACUAUUCCAGUCGUCAUAUAUGACUUAUUUUUCACAAGUGGACCCCACUUUUCUCCUAACGGUAAAAAAAUCAAUUCUCAAAAUCACUCCAAAACAGGUGGACCCCACUUUGUUUUUUGUUUUUAAAUUUUUGGCUACAUCAUCAUUUUAAAUCAUAUAUUUAAACAAUAGUAUAUUCUAUACAUAAAUUCAAUGUUUUUCUACUUUUUAACCGCAUAUUCUCUUAAAAAUACUAUUCAAACCCUUUUUUUUCUUUUUUUGAAAUAAUGGGAAUCAAACAUGGGCUUAAUUUGUUAUUUUCAAUGCUAAUUUGGGACAAUUCAUCACUCUAGUGUUAAACAUUGUCUAGGUAGCAAUUAUAUGCUAUUAAAUAAUGAAUAAUGCUACCUAGUACCAGUGGAAUUAGAGUACCAUACCAUAUAAUUGCCACUUAAACUAUUGUUAAAUAUCGAUAGGAUUGAAUAAUAUUACUCAUGAAUUAUUCAUUUAAGAAUAAUACUAUUUAGGAUCAGUAGUGCUUAAACCAUCGGUCUAACUUGUCACACUUGAUAGGAUUCAUUGAAUGAAUCGUGUGUCAUUGUAUUUGAGUGAAUUAUUAUUUAGUGCCAAGCAAUUACAAUCUAAACUAGUUCAAUGGUGUUGAAUAUCAUUACUUUUCAUUUAAAGUGAAAAUGUAAAGUCAUAUGACUAAUUUAAUUGAACAUAUAAAGUGUAGCCAUCCAAAUUGAUGCUGUAAUACUAUUGGUGUUUGAUAGAAUUAAUUUAAGAUUGGAAUAAAGAUGAGUAAAGAGUCCAACAAAGUAUGUGAAUAAUUAUUCCUAUACAUAUAUUUCAUAACAUUAAUUUCAACUACACUAUUCAUUGUUAUAUAUACAUUUCGCCAGAUCUACUAUUUUCCUCUCUUUUAUAUACUAAGUUAUGAAUUUGUCAAAAAAUGGCUUAUGCUUUGAGAGGUGUAUGAGUUUUGUUACGUAAAAUUUCUCAAUCAAAUAUAUAUGGGUGUGUUUGAGCCAUAUUAUUUUUAAGAGAAUGCAUUUUGAAAUAGUAUAUUGAUAGAGAAUAUAUGGUUAAAAAAAGAUUUUUUUUUAUUUACGUGUAAUAUUAUUUUAAUGAAAGAUAUGUGAUUGAAAAGAAUAGAUAAAAAAUGUAUUUUAGAGAAAAUGAGAAUCAAAUAUUCCCAUGUAAUUUAAGUCUCAGCUUCUCAAUCUUUUAUUUGAUGUAGUUAUGGAUCUUUAAUUUCAAAAGUUAGGAUUUCGGAUCUUCAAUAUAUUUAAAUGGGUGAAUCUGAUCCUCAAAUGAUCGACAUUCAUAUGACUUACAAUUAAAGGGCAUAACAAUCAAACUGCUUAAUAUUCAUCACCAAUUUAAUAAAAAAUAAUGUGAAUUUUUAACAUUUAAAUUGACUAUCUUACGUCAAAAUUUUCAAAGUUUAUGUAAAAAAGGGCUCCAAUUCCCAUUCUAAUGCAUAGUACGAACGUACGUACGAAUCAGAUAGUCGGGACAUUGGACAAUAUCAUCACGAACUAUUCUUUCAAAGAGAAUCGAUCGAGGGAAGAAGCUCUUUGUAAAUGAGGGAAAUGCCUCUUUCAAGAGAAAUAUAUAAAUAUGUUAUAUGUGUGAUGUAAAGUUGGUGUGGAGCCCAUUAAGGGUAAGAGUCAUACAAGUGGAUGAAUGGGACUUGUGGCUUGUGACUCGGAUUAUCUAAUUUAGAGGUGUGUAAAUCUAGCACGUGAAACUCACGUGUUGCGUUGAAUAAUUAUAAAAAUCAAAAUACCUUUAAUGACGGACUUAUUAUUUAUUUGCAUAUCUGAUAGGGAAAUUGCAUAUUUAGUCCUCUCAAUAUUUUACAAAGCUGAGAUCUUAUCUCCAAUUAUUUUUUAUUAUUGCAUUCUUGUCAAAUUUUCAUAAAUGAGAAAAGUACAUCGCCAUGCUGCACAGAUAAAAGAUCUUUCUAGUAAUUUAACCAUACAUUUAAUUUAAGUUAACUGCAUAUUUCAUGGGAUCCAUAACUUUUCAACUAUAUAUUUUAUUAAUUUUGUCAAAAUUUAUUCAAAAUCUAAUUCUAAUUCCCAUUAAAUUGGGGGCAAAACAACUAUUUAGAAAAGAAGAAAUAAAUGGAGAAAAAAUGAAAACGAGAAAAAAAAUUAUCUUACUCACCACCCACUGCCACCUUGUAAUAAUUUCUCUUUCUUCAAUUGCGACGAAGAAGCUCAUUGAGAUACAACACUUUUGUGCACGAAUAUGGAUGAUGGGCUGGAAACUCUCCAGCUUUCUCGGCCCGACAUGAACAAGACUCGAGAACCAAAAGAGAAACGAGGGGUGCGAGGUAGGUGGGGUGGGGGUUGAUGGGGGUAGAGUUGUAAGUUGGUGGUUGAUGAGGAAGCAAGUUUUUUCUUUUUUCUUUUUUAUUUUCUUCUUUUAUUUAAUAGUAGUUUAAUAAAGUAUAAUCAGUUUCAUUAUUAAAUUGUUGUCUUUAAAAAAUAUAUAUUUUUAAAUUUAUUCUUUUUAAUAGCGGUUUGAUGUUAUCUCCUUUUAACUAAAAGUCACGUGUAUGUGAAUUAAUGGAAAAUUUGGACCGAAACUUGCUAAUAUAGAAGGUUAGAGGACAAAUAAUGCACAGAAAUAGUUGUUGCGUAACAAGAUUCUAACUUUCGAGGAAAGUCAUGGACCAAUUAUGCAAUUUACCCUUUCAUUAAUUAGUAAGAAUUGCUAUUUACUGAGCCCUAUGUGAUCUUCAUUAUCCACAAAUUCUCAUUAUAAAAUAUUUUGUACGCAAUUGUUAAUUAUCUAUUCUUAAAAAAUUCACCAUUAUUAAACUCAUUUUCAACAACGAUAAAUAAAAAUGGGCAUAAACAUAGCCCCGAUUUGUUUCCAAAUUUUCAACCCAAUUUUAUGGAAUUUUCUGACCGUUAAUAGAUCUUCAGCCCGCAUUCUUGACUUCUUCUCUCACAAGAAAGCUCACGCACUGGCAACAAAAGGUCAAAAAAUCCAUUAUUUUCUUCAAAGAAUUGGAAACAAACAGGGAGAUAAUAUUAGACUUCCUUAGCAAUUAAGAUAUUAAUUACGUAAUUAAACAUCUUAAAAUGAGAAUAAAAAUUUUACAUUCAAGAGGUCUAAUUACUUAAAAUUACUUACUAAACACUUGGAUGUUGACCAAUAAGAGUCAGGAUAAAUAGCAUCAUUAAAUUGAGAGCAAAUGUAACUUUAACUCCCUUUCAUCGGGUUUUAUUAUUUUAUAAACACAAUAAAUCAUAUAAAAAUUGAAAAAUAAUAUGAAUUAAAUCAUCAUGGUUUAGUAAUAUGUUGCAAAGUUUUAAGACUUUGCGUAAGGAUUAGAAGUCAUUUGACAUGAUUUUUGAAAAGUCAAAAGAAGCUUUUGAACUCGUUUGGUUAAUUUUAUGAAAAUGUUUCAGGUAGUUAAAAGCGCAUUAAGAGGAAGUUGGUUCAAUGUAAGUUCCUGUAAAAGUACCUUCGAAAUAGAAAGUUAUUUAAAAAAUUAGUUUAUUAACAAAAAAUAAAAUAACUUCCUCGAAAAGCCGUUAUACAAAAAGUAGAAGUAAAAGCAAAAGGCAUAUCAAACGGACCCUAAAUAUAUUAACACUUUAAUUAAUUCAUAAUUGCUCCAGGUAUAUUUGGUUAAUCACAAACCAAUCACGUGCAAUGUUAGGGGAGCGUUUGUUUCCUAUUUUUGUAAAAAUGAGAAUGAAAAAUAUAGUCGUUAUGAAUCCCACACAGGAUAUAGAAAUUUAAAUUUGGUGGUUUAAUUUUAUGGAUAACGACUAUAUUUUUCAUUUUAAUGGGAAAAGAAUGAAAAAUAAACGGGGGCUAAAUAAGAAUCUUUACCACGAACAUGUUAUGUAGGAAAAAAUAAAAUAAAAUUUUGCAGUUGUUAGACUUAAUUAAUUAUUACAAGUUUUCAUUUUAGUCAAAGAAGAGUAGUUAAUAUCCACUAAAUGCAUGUACUAUCUUUUUCAAUGUUAAAUUGUUAAUCAUAAAUAAAUUUCGGAAGGUAGAAGAUGAAGACUAGACCACCAACAAAAUUUUUAGUAUAACUUGUUUGAUGGAGGUGCGUUGCACGUCUAGCUUCCGUGAUGAUUUAGUUAUUUAGUACACAUGGAUAAAAAUAAUUCGACUUAGAUACGAAAGGAUUAUUUUGUAAUGAGUGAAUGUGGAGCUAACUUUAAGGCUUUUUUUGUUAACAGAGCAAAUAGAUAAAUAAUUACGUCUCUUGUUAUAACUCAAAAUAUUCGAGAACUUGGAAAGCAUUUUGUUGAUUGUAGUUGACUAAGAUAUGUUGUGGGUAAAGGAUAAUAAAAAAAAGGUUGAACCCCAACCUUAAAGAUCCCUCACCGCCCCUGUCCUGGAACAUCGUGAGGGAAGUAAAUCACAGGUUAUGCCUCCAAGAGUACAGGGUGGAAGGCUGCUUGUACACUUACACUUACCCAAGAGCCAAAUCCAUAUU